rnacentral:lncRNA from 1 species
AAUAAUUGAGGAUGAGGUGUAAUGAUCUGACCCAUAUAUCUUAAAUCAAAAUUUUUUCUUAUUCGAUAUGAGACUAUUAAGGUGUUAAAGAUUCCUUCCGUUUAGACGCUAUAUAGAUUAGAAUUAUUAGGCGAUGGCUUCCAUUAAACCCUUUGUGUAUUAUUUUGUCUUAUAUAAUACUUAGCUCUCCUACUUUCGGCCGGUAUUCGACUCUGAUAACAAAUGUAGCGACUUGACCCGCUAGCAAUGAUUACUCUUGAAUCCAAACCACCGUAUUGAAAAUGCUUGAAUCCAACCAUUAUUAUUAUUAUUAUUAUUAGAAUGUGAGGGCUCGUAUAUUUUAAAUCAGAAUUUUUUUUCUUUUUCAUUCAACGUGAGACUCUUGGAUGUUACAUGAGGGGGACCUUCUCUGGGGUUACAGAGUAAUUUUCUUCGCUAAAUAUGGGGCCUUGGAAAAUCCGCUAGGAGACAAAGGCAGUCCUCUUCAACUGUUUGGGGAUUCUUUCGCUUGAUGGCACAACCUCGAGGAAUCAAAGGUACAGCAAUAUAGUCUCUCGAAUGAAAGGUACAACAAUGUUGUCUCAGCUGUCCUCCAUUAAUGUUAGCCGAGGGUUUGAAGAGUCCACUGUGCAACAGUUGUUCUCUUAUUAUGAGUGGUUCAAGGAUUGAUUGAUUCCUUGGUUUCGGGAUCAAUGGCGUUGCUGUUAGAUACAGGGAAAGACAUUCUUGCAAGGCAAAAUUACGUGCUGGGCAUGUUUGGUCCAUGAAUGAAAUAGAAAUAGAAAAUAAAAUUAAAUUACUUUAGAAUAAGAAAUGAAAUGACGAAUCGUUCAAAAAUAUUUUGUUCAUUAUUAGAAUGAAAAUCAGAAUACAAAUAUAGAAUUUUUUUAGAGAGAAUUUUAAUUAAGAAAUAGAAAAGGAAUGAAGGGAGAGGAGGAGGUGUAGAUGAAGGAAGAUUUUGACUAGUUUACUUUAAAAUUGGUCAAUUCGAAAUUCAAAGUCAGAUUGGGCCAUAAAUGAAUUUGAUCAUUUCCAUUUCAGAGUGGAAUGUGAUUCAGAAUCCAAUUCGUAUAAAGCAAACAAUAACAAUCGAAAUCAAUGAAUCUCAUACCGAUUUCAUAAACUAAAAUAGGUGAACCAAAUAUGCCCCUUGAUCCUCAUGUAUCACUAAUAUAACGAUAAUGCAAGAACAGUGUUGUUUGGCGACAUAACAUUAAUUAAAAUGUCAUAUUAACAAAAUAUAUCGGUAUUUAGUUAGCUAAAUAGGAUUUUACAGCUUAAUUAUAAUAAUUUAUAAAAUUUGGGUCAUCACUUUUAUAAUAAAUAAAAAUUUGGGAAUCAAACUAUCAUGCAGCUCAUAGUUCGAGAAGAAAAAACUAUAAUUUUUUUUUUUAAAUGAAAAGAUCGGUAUAUCUUAGGGCAUAGGGCGGAUUAGUAGCCCUCAGGAAAUUCUAGUUGAAUAAAAAUUUGGUGGGGGCAGUCUCCGCAAUGAGACCGUUUUGUUCACCAUCCAUAAUGUGAAUGUCGCGCAUUAGGAUAGUCUACACCAAAUCUUGUUUUUUCGGUGGUUGUGGAGACGGUGAAACAGAAAUUCGGGGCUUAACCUGGUGAGAGAGAUGUGAACAGAAGGGAAUGGAGUUGUCUGUUAUUCUCUGUUGAUAAGAAGAAAGCAGAUCUACUUCUUUGAUUAGUAGAUUACUAUACAACUACAGGAUGUGGAUGGUGUACUGCAUUCUCACCAGCAUCCGCCCGUUCUUGUAAUGGGUGUUGAAUUCAAACUCGGAGAAGUAAUUUAGGUAUAGCUCAAAAAUAAUUCUUUUUUUUUUCCCGAAUUUUGAUGUCAAAACGUUUCAGAUCAUUUAGGCCAAAUUGAAAAAAGUUAAUGAAAUUGUUUUCGUUUUUUAACCUCUUGAUGUUACUAGGGAUGCAAAUGGGGCGGAUCUGGGGGCGGAAGCCCCGCCCCGCCUCCCCCCGAAUUCGUAACGGGUUAAAAAAUAUAUCCCAUAAUCCGCCCCGUCUCGUAACCCGCCUCCGGCCGGCGCUCCGAAUCCGCCCCGCAAACUAAUAAUUUUUAUAAAAUUAUAAUUAUAAUAUUAUUAAUAUUUUGUAAAAUUUAAAUUAAUAAUUUUUAAUAAUAUUAUAUAUAUAUAAUUUAACAAUAUCAAUUAUAAAAAUAAAAAAUAUCAAUCACAAUUCAAAAUAAAAUUUAAAAGUUUCAAAUACAUUAGAAAUGAGAGUAUUAACUUAUUUGUAUUUUGAACUUUUUUUUUAAAUACAUUAUAUUUUAGAAAUAUUUUUUUAAAUUAUAAAUGGUUUUCGGGNUUUGUAUUUUGAACUUUUUUGUGAAUACAUUAUUUUUUAAGAAUAUUUUUUUUAAAAUAUAAAUAAUUUUUGGGACAGAUUCGGGGCGGGUUAAAAUUUCUUCCGUUUCCUGUUCCGAAUCUGUCUCAGAUCGUAAAAUUUACUUCGUUUUCUGUCCCAAAUCCAUUUAUUUUCUCUUAUUUACUGCCCCCGUCGGGGCGGAUCGGGGCGGGAGCUCCACCAACCCGGAUCCGUUGCAUCCCUAGAUGCUGCGAAGAAGUUUUAUCUCUUCUUCUUCCCUAGAAAAGGGAACUUUUUUCCCCCUUUGUUUGUCCAAGCUAAUUCAAGCCUUAGGAGAGCAAUUUAGAUAUAGUUUAAAAUUAGUAUAUAAUUUCUUAUGGAGACAAUUUUUGGGAGUCAUACAAUUGCAUAACAAUUCCUUAUUUUUUGAUCAUUUUAAGAGACGGCAAAAUUCCUGAACUGUAUUUUAUCUUCGAUCAUGUAGUACUGUUUUUUUUUUAGAGAUAGAUAGUACGCUAUCCGCUUCAUUUAUUUCAUUUAAAAAUAAACUUAACUGGAAAUGUGAAUCAACUAGAAUUCGAACUUUAAUUUCGGGUACCAACCAUCAAGCCUUUUGCCAAUUGCUCUAUGGACGGUCGGUGAUCAUGUAGUACUGUUAUUUUCUCUUUUUAAGAAGCAUUCGAACUGUUUUAUCAAAAACAACACGUGCCUAAUUUCUAGCAGGCUCCUUAUCCACUUGCUUUGUAAUGCGGCAUAGAUUAAUAACAGGCUCCUUAUCAAAAACAACACCUUCUCCUAUAGAGGGCACAGAUUAAUUCCGCUAAAAUUCAGCGGCGGGAUCGAUUCCAUGCUUGGUAAAAUCUAACCCUAGAUUUUUAAGUCAUUACUGCUACUUUUAGGCGGGUCCCUUACCAUGGUGUAGCGAUAUUCCCUGCAAUGUCCAUUGUCGCCUUUUGAAGCCUUUGAUUGGUAUCCCAACGUGGUGUUACAUCAUCUUUUCUCUAGUGGGCGAAAAAGGAAUAUAUAUAUAUAUAUAUUAAUUAAGUCGCUUAUUAAGUAAAAGUUUUUGUAUCAGCUUGAGCUGUUCUAGAUCUAUAGGCUAAUCUUGUUAAGUCAGGAAAAUACUUUUUCAUCUUAGGAUUUUCACAAUACUAGGUUGUUAAUUUUGAGCUACUCAUUUUGUCUACUCAUUUUGUCCAUUUCCCUCUUGCGGAAAAAGACCUUCAAUUGAAAAGUAUCAAUACCACCGACCGUUCCUAGAGCGCAAAGGGCUAACUAUCUCUCAGAAAAAAAAAAAAGAAAAAAAAGAAAAGUACCAAUACCAAUGUUUCGGAAAAGCUCAAGAUAGUUGCAAUUGUAUAUACAUCUCAUAUAAUUAUAAAUAAUAUAUUGUUGUUAUUAUAAAAAAAUUAAGAAUAAGAAUGUAUGAAAAAUGAAGUAGCAUACAGGAGGAUCAAGUAGAGUUUCUUGAUGACUCACAUUGAAUAUAUACACCAAAAUAAAAUAAAAAAUAAUUGAGAAUCAAAACAAACUAACAAUAUUAUUAUAUGCAUCGUAUAUUCAUAUAUAAUACUUAAGCAACUGCAUCCAUAAACUGGACACAUUUAUAAGUGCAUGCAUCUCCGUCUAUAAUAGUGAAUAAAUAAAUACAAAAUUUUAUUGGAAAUUGAAUGCAAUCACGUUCUAUCGAGUGAGAUGUUUCUCUCUUGUGCCACGUUCAAGCGUAGACAAAGGCUCAAUAAUUGACGAGUCAUAAUUAAUACUGUCCUAUAACAUUUGAGUCAUAUCGAUAUUAUUGAAUUAUUAGAUGAUUUUUCUAGGAACUCAAUUGGUAGGGCCAAAACUAGAAACGCCAAUGGGUAUGGAUGCAUGAAAUUUUAUCCGAAUCCGAACCCAAAUGAAACGGAUAUAUCCGAUGAAUAUGGAUAUGAAUUCGGAUAUGGAUAUCAAAAAUAGAAACCCGACGGAUAUGAAUUCGGAUAUGAAUUUUGAUUGUACCCGACCCGAACCCAAUUCCGAUCCGAACCUCGAAUUUAUUUUGUGUGUAUAUAUAUAUAUAUAUAUAUAUAUUUGAUGUUAUAUUUUAAUUUGUAUUUUAAAAAUUUAGAUUUAAUAUAAUAUAUUUUGAAAUAUUAAAAAAAAAUAAUUAUUUCGGAUUCGGAUUCGGGUUUCGGAUUUUUGGUCGGAUUCGGAUUUGAAUAUGGAUUUUUAAAAUCCGUCGGGUUCAGAUCUCGGGUUUGGAGUGGGGUUCGGGUUCGGGGCUUUAAAAAUUCACUCCGAAUCCGAUCCACAUCUCUAACCAAAACAGUGUUUUUCCUCAAAGAGGAAAAAAAAAAGUAUACGUUUUACCCCAAAAUUUAGAUGCGUACAACAUGUAAGGCACGUGUUUGGCAUCAAUAAUGACUUACCUGUGAACUUAUUUUGUGUCAUGAAGCGUAAUGUUGCCAUACUAUUUUACUUUCUCGCGAAGUUGCUAACUGAGUAGAUUUACUGAAUAAGAGACAUGCCUAAUAAGAUAUCUUACUAAAUAUUUAUAAUCCUGUUUCGGUAAAGUGCAAAAGAUUUAAAAGCUUUGAAGCUCAUUUCCGCUUGCAGAUACAGCAAAAAACUUCAUUUUAUUAUGAAUAUAUCUUAUUUUUAAUUUUUGGGUUAAAAAGAAUUAGAUGAAAGCGUACAGAAUUUACCUGUACUAUAAAGUCAUUACGAGUCGGCCAUCCAACCUUUCAAAUUUUGAUUUUACUACCUGAUCUUUUAAUUUAUUUGAUUUGAGUCAAUCAGCGACAUUUUGACUUUAAAUUUGAAAAAUAUCAUUUAUAUUUAUAGAUUUAGUUAGUAUAUUCUAUAUAAUUCUUGCAACAAUAAACUAAUUAAAAGUAAGUAAUUAUUUUAAAUUUUGAAGACAAAUGAAAAUUUUGAUAGUAAAUUAGAUAUAGUUGAUUCAAAAUGACCCUUUGUUUAACUAAGUUGUCUACAUUUUUUCCGAAAAAUUAUUCCACCAAGUCAAAACCAAAUACCAGAUAGGUACCUACUUCUAUCUGUUUCGUUUAUUUCAUUUAGAAAUAAACUUAGCUGACAAUGUGAAUCAACUAGGAUUCGAACAUAGGACCUCGAGUACCAAUCAUCAAACCUUUUGUCACUUGCUCUACGGACAGUCGGUUACUUCUAUUUCCUUUGUUAACGUGAGGUCUCUCAUGCACCCUCCCUUUAUUCGGGUCCAAAGAUGUCCAAAAAUUGCGGGGAAGGAAAAACACGCAUGAAAAGAAUACAAGCAUCUCAUAACGGUGGGUAAAAAGAUGCAUGAAAAUGGGACUCUUUCCAACUGGAAAGAGUGAGCCUGGAUUAAUUAGCUGUGUAUUCCUCUUCCAUUCUCUUAUGCAAAUUAAAUUUGCUACCAACUUUAUACUUUGCUUGCAUAGAUAUAUAACGAGUCUCUGUUUCUUCUUUCCUCCUCGCUAUCUAAUCCCGUAAAAUUCCAUAUCGAUCGAGUCAUUGUGGCUUGUCCUUUCUAAUUACAGCAUUACAACCAUGCAGAGAUUUAUGAGAUAAAUUUUUAAUAGAAUUAAAAUGUCACUUUAUUAACUAGUUAAAAGAAAAGGAGAGAAAUUUUUUUUAUCUUAAAUAAUUAACGAAGUCCACUAUUUCAUUCAGCCGGAAAAGAAUUUAUAGCAAUUAAAUAUAAAGGAAUCACAACUAAAUCGAACAAUAUCUUUUGUUUAAUAGCUAAAAAAAAUUAAAUGAAAAUUAACACAAAUUAAAAAUAUGUCACUCAAAAUUAAAAAUCAAAAGUUGAAGGAUAUAUAUAAAGGGGAUAAUUAUCUAUAUACUUUUCAAAACUUCUGAGAUAUCUUAUAUAUCUCUCUCUCUCUCUCUCUUUUUUUUUUUUAACAUACCCCUAGUACAUUUUUUUCAUUAUUUAAAAAUAAUCUAUUCUUAGUACCGUUAAGUCAUUUUGGGCUAAAUCCAUAUUAAAUUUCUACCCGCGCCGGUUAAAUUUUUAUCAGAGUUAAAAAAUAUCAAAAUAUCUUUUUUGUUCCUAACUUACAGACAAAUAAGAAAAAAAAUUGGUGACAGUAGAAAGCUAUAUUUGAAUAGUCAAAAAGGUCAAAAAAUAUAUAUUUUUUACCUCUAACAAAGGCAAAUAAAAAAGGUUGAUAACUAUAUAAGUAUAUUUGAAAGGAUAAAAUAAUAAUUUUAUAGAAAUAACAGCGGAUUCUAAAAUUUUACUAACAAAAUUUAACUUUUCAGAAGUAUAUGGAAACAUGGAAAGGAUAUUUUUUAUAUUAACCUUCUAAGGAAGGUAAAUAAACAAGUUUAUAUAUUUAAUUUCCUCUAAUAUAAAAAGGAUAUAUAAUUGAGAGGCACCCUAAGCUCGACAUUUUUACCUUAACAUAUUCGGCCGGGCAGGAACAAGGCAUUUGUUGGACACCACCGAGCAUUGUCGGGCCCGAGUCACCCCAAACGCAUGCUUAGAUCCAAAUCAUUGCAUGAUGCGUCCACAUUCUACAGAACCUUAAUUAGCUCUCCCUUUUACUUAGUCGCAUCAAACAAGCCCGUGACAUGGGCUGUAUAAGAGACCAUAUGUAACUAAAAUUCACCAACCUUAUAUUUUUCUUUUAUUUCGUUUUCAUCUUCUCUACUUUUUGUUUUUUUUAUCUUUUUUGAUCCCCUCAGAGAAAGGAAAAAAGAAAAAAGAAAUAAGGGAAAUGCCUGUACAGGGGAUCUUUGUACCAAUUCCUAGCAAUUUACUUCUCAUUUAGGGCAUAUUUGUGGUCCCAAUGUACAUAAAUUUUUUUUUUUUUUUCAUAUUCAAUACCAUUUACUUUCAGUUGGCCCACCACAAAGGACCAAAUUUUGUAGAGCCAUAUAUCUACAUCACAUCUAUUCACUUAAAUAGAACAAGGAUCCAAGCUUAUUCGAUCGGUCAAGCUCUGUUCCUGUUUGCACUUGCACACGCACAUGCGCGGCGCGUGACGAUUACAUGAAAAAUUUAAAAGCGCCAAGCUGUACAGUGUACCCACACACCACAAUCUAAAUUUCAGGUACCCAUCACUCUUAUUUAAUGUAUAGCACAUAGCAUAGCAUACGCCACCUGGAUGGUCGGCAAUUGGUCGAGCUCGAUGCUGAGGUGGCACGACACUAGGCCGGCACGUGGCUUUAAUGAUUGGUGCUUAGGCCUAUUUUUGGAGGGGCUAAGUGUAUUCAAUGUCAUGCUUCCACUUAGCAUCUCCCUCCCCGUCAUUUUACUUUUCUCCUCCACUUUACCCUUUUUAUAUAUCAUGCAAUUUUUUAGGGUGAAAUUAAGUUGCAAAAAAAAAAAAAAAAAAAAGAAAAAAAAAAAAAAAAAAAAAAAAAAAAUAAUUAAUAAGGAUUUAAUCUUAAUUAAUUUGCGGAAAGGUGGUGUAUAUGUGCGGACAUGCUUGGUGCGGAUCUUCUUUGAUGUUGGACCAUUAUUUUCUUGUGAUUAAAUAAAAUUAAAAUAUUCCCCAAAAAGAAAGAAAAAGAAAGAAAAAGAAAAGGUCGAGAGGUGGGAGUGGGCCCUUUUGUCACCAUUGUGAUUAGAGUAAAGCACAUGAUCAAAGCAAAUGCUUUGCAAUUCCGGUUAAGAAAGGCAACUUAGCUAGCAAAACACUUUUUUCCAUCUCGUUCCCUUCCAAUUCACACUCGAUCAUAAAACGAAGAAACAGAGAGAAAGUUAAGCAGUUUUCUUCUUUUCUUUUUUUUUUUUUAUUUUUUCUCUCCCUAAUCCGACAUUUGGGAGAGAGAAGUGAAGGAUUUACGGCUUAAUUAUCACUAGAAACCGAACUGGAUUAAUUUGAGUGGGACCUGAACUCGAUCGAGUCCUAGCUAAAUGGAACGGGUACUCUAUGAGAGGAUUAUAGCUGGGUCAAACUCCCGUUCCUCAAGACAAAUUUAAAAUCAACACGGAAAGAAACUUAAAGCAAAAUUACCUUCCAAAAUUCAUCAAACCAAACACAUUUAGGGAGAUUGAUAUAUUUUAUACAUAAAUUAACAGCGCCUACAGUACUAUCUUGUAGAGUUUAUACAUGAAGUAGUCUUUUUUUUUUUCUUUUUUUUCUUUUUUUUUUUGUUGUUGUUGUUGUUGUUGCAGAGAACCCUCACAUUUUGAACUUGGAAAGGCCAAAAAGAAGCAGGAGAAGAUUUGGGCAUGCAGUGUUUGGACAAUUCAUGCGAUCAUCUUCCUUGUGUACCUUGAAUUCCUCUCUGCGCUUAAAAUUGUGAUCAUGAUAGUUAAUUUCAGAACUAACCAUGCACCACCCAUGCAGCUCGAUCUCACGUACGUGCGUUUGUAAGCUCUAGCAGUACUCCCACAGGAGCGGCUCCUCAAACCGGAACUCGCCGCCGCCGCCGUCCUCCUCAUCCUCCCACGACGACGGAAACCAGAAGCCGUCUCUCAAGUCGAGGAGGAGGUCCGGCAGGUCGUCGCCGGCGGCGGGAAAUGCGGCGGCGAGGGCGGCGGCGGCCUGGAUGUCCUUGGGGGAGGCGGUGGCGGGGCGGGGGAGGGCGGGGGCCAGCUCGGGGAAGUUGAGGUGCGCCGACUGGCCCUUGAUGGUCAGCGCCGCCACGUCGUGGGCGCGCGCCGCCAUCUCGGCGGUGGGGAAGGUGCCGAGCCAUAUCCUCGACUUCUUCCUCGGCUCGCGGAUCUCCGACACCCACUUCCCCCAGUUCCGCAUCCGCACCCCGCGGUACACCGGGUGCUUCCCCUCCUUGCUCCGCUUCUGCUUGCUCUCCCCGCCCCCGCCCCCGCCCCCGCCGACUGCGUCCGCUUCUCGUUUACAGCUGUUCUUACCGCCCUUCUUUAGACCGCUGCCCGAUUUCUCUGCCGGUGGCGACGGCGCAUUGGGACAAGGCGAGGUGGUCGUAGGAGUACUCGAAGUAGAGUUAGAGGAUGACAACGACGACGACGACGUCGCCUUCAACAAGCUCUUUUUCCUUCUCCCCCUACUACUGCUAUUACUACUAUUGUUGCAACCACCGCUCUCACUCCAAUUCUUUCUAUUCCUCUUCCCAAAAUACCCUCGCUCUGCGAAAUCCCCGCCCUUUUUUUGAAAAUGCCCUUCACCUGUACCGCAAUUCUCGUUAGUGUCCCCGUCCCCGUCCUGCUCGAAUCGGAACACGAAAACCGCGUCCCCGGCGUCUCCGAACGCCGUCGGCGGCGGCGCGGAAUCGUCGGGGAGGCGGAAGAGCCAAUUGUGUAGGUCCCACGAGACGCGUAUCCGACCACCGCCCUCCGCCGCCGCCGACGACACCGUCUCGCUCCCGCGGAACGCCCACCGCAGCCGCGGCACGUUCAAUACGCAAUUCCCGUCCACCAUUAUAAGCAUCCCCACCUCCCCCAAUCCCCUCCUCCCCCUCCCCCUCUCCCUCUCCCUCUCCUUCGCCUUCUCCGCGCCGCGCUCGCCAAGCUCGAUCGCGAUCUCCCUCUCCCUUCCCCCGAGCCGCGCCGUGGUCCGGUAGGUUCUAGNUAUAUAUAUAUAUAUAUAUAUAUAUAUAUAUAUAUACUUAUAUAUACAUAUAUACACAAUAUAGACGAUCACGAGAUACACGGACGUAGCUUUCGAUAGAUAAGGACUCAUUGCUAUCUUUAUCUUAAAAAAAUUUAACAAACUGAAAAUUUUAUCCUUUGUCACUUGGACUAGUGAAAAAAAAAAAAAAAAAAAAAAAUUUUUUAUACUCUAUUUAGAUGGAGAGGGGAAAAAAAAAGGACAGUUAGAAAGAAAAUUUUUUCUCUAUGUUCAAACUAAGUAGUAUCAUGAGAAUAAAAUUUUAUUUGUGUUACCGACCGUUCCUAGAGCAAAUGGCAAAGGGCUUGGUGGUUGAUACCCGAGACCCAAGUUCGAAUCCAAAUUGAUUCAUAUUUUCAGCCAAAUUUAUUUCUAAAUUAAAUAAAUGAAACGGACAGCGUGCUAUUUAUUUCUAUAAAAAAAAAAAAUAUUUGUGUUUCAAAAUUACGGUACAUAAAUGAAUAGCCUCUUACAUCUCUAGCUCGAUUAUUCUAAAAUUUUUAAUCAAAUUUAGUAAAAAUAACACCUUUUAACGACUAGAAAAAAAAUUCUUAUUGAAAGUACUUUUAAUAUUUUUAGAAUAAGAAUUCUUGCACAUGCCCGAAGGAGAGUAGGCGAUUGAUUAAUUAAUAAACACAUUGGUGCAUAUAAAAAUUUGGAAGUACAAAAAACUAUUUUAUUAUUAUACAUUAGUCGCCAAACGGUACGCCAAAGAAUUUGGGCGGUUGAGUUGAUAUCCAAACAGUGAUGCCGUGUUACAGAGGGAAAAAAACGAUACCAAAUCUUCAAUAGUGACUAAAGUGCAGGUUGGUAAUAUAUAUAUAUAUAUAUAUAUAUAUAUAGAGCAGGACUGCUGUGCUCUUAGGAGCACGGAGCCCUCCGUGCUUCUGAGCCGUUUUCGAUGAUGGGACUCUCAAAUCGACGAUCGGCUCCGUUAGACUUGAUCUAGCGUAUUUGAAGUUUCUAGAAAAUAAUUUUUGCAAUUUUUCGAUAUCAUUUACCUAGCAAUCGAAAGGAUUCAAAAUCAAUAAUUUUUAACGGCUGAAAAUAAAAAUCCUAUAAAAAGUGGUGAUAUAGCACUAAAAUUUUCGAUCAUAAAUAUUGAUCUUGUUGUAGACAGUAUAAAUAAUUUUGUAUCAAAAUUUUAUCUAAUUUGAAUACUUCUACACCGUUAAACUUGAAAAUGGCAGAUAUCAACCAUUCAAAAUUAUUGAUUUUGAAUCCUUUCGAUUGUUAGGUAAAUGAUAUCGAAAAAUCGCAAAACUUAUUUUCUAGAGACUUCAAAUACCCUAGAUCAAGUCUAACGGAGCCGAUCGUCGAUUUGGAUGUCCCAUCAUCGAAAACGGCUCAGGAGCACGAAGGGCUCCGUGCUCCUGAGAGCACAGCAGCCCUGCUCUAUAUAUAUAUAUAGAGAGAGAGCAAGGCCGCUGUGCUCUCAGGAGCACAGAGCCUUCCGUGCUCCUGAGCCAUUUUCGAUGAUGGAAUUUUCGAAUCGACGAUCGGCACCGUUGAAUACGAUCUAUACCACUUGAAAUAUUUAGAAAUCAAAUUUUAUAUAUUUUCGAUAUUGUUCUCUUAUCCAUCGAGUUGACACAAAAAUGAACGGCUGAAAAUAAAUAUUCAUUAAAAAAUGAUGAUAGGAGUCUUGUAAUCAAAAUCAAGAGUAUAGAUCUUGUUUUAAAUAGUUUAAAGAAUUUUCUAACAAAUAUUCAAUUGAUUUGGAUAUCUUUACGCCGUUAAACAAGAAAACGUCUCAUAUUGACCAUUAAAAUUACAAAUUUUAAAACCCUUUGAUCAUUACGCAAAUGAUGUCGAAAAGAUUUGAAAUUUGAUUUCUAAACACUUCAAGUGAUAUAGAUUAUGUUCAACGAUGCCGAUCGUCAAUUUGGAGGCUCCAUCAUCGAAAACAAAUGGGUGGCAACGGAGCCCGUUUGCUAUCGAUAGUAUUCUAGCUCAACUCUCUCUCUCUCUCUCUAUAUAUAUAUAUAGAGUGAGGCUACUAUGCUAUCGGAAGCACGGAGCCUUCCGUGCUUCCAGCUCGUUUUCGAUGUUGCGACUUUCGAAUCGUCGAUCGGCUCCGUUAAACUUGAUCUAGAGUAUUUGAAGUACCUAGAAAAUAAAUUUUAUAAUUUUACGAUAUCAUUUGUCUAGUGAACGAAGGGGCUCAAAAUCAACGGCUGAAAAUAAAAAUCUUACAAAAUGUAAUAAUAUGACAUUAAAAUUUUAAAUCAAAGAUAUUGAUCUUGUUUUAUAUAGUAUAAAGAAUUUUCUAUCAAAAUUUCACGUGAUUUGGAUAUUUCUACACCGUUAAACUUGCAAACGGCUCACUACGGCCAUUAAAAUUUGUUGAUUUUGAGCCCAUUCGAUCAUUAGUCAAAUGAUAUCGAAAAAUAAUAAAAUUUAUUUUCUAGGUACUCCAAAUACUCUAGAUCAAGUUUAACGGAGCCGAUCGACGAUUCGAAAGUCGCAACAUCGAAAACGAGCUGGAAGUAUGGAAGGCUCCGUGCUUCCGAUAGUAUAGUAGCCUCACACUCUCUCUCUCUCUCUCUCUCUCUCUCUCUCUCUCUCUAUAUAUAUAUAGUGGGCUGGUAUGCUUAUAUGGAAGUACGGAGCCCUCCGUGCUUCCAAGUUGUUUUUGAUGUUCGGACUUUCGAAUCGAUGAUCGGCUCCGUUAGAGUUGAUCUAGAGUAUUUGAAGUACCUAGAAAAUAAAUUUUGUGAUUUUUCGAUAUCAUUUGCCUAGUGAUCGAAGGGGCUCAAAAUUAAUAAUUUUAAUGACCAUGGUGAGCCGGUUGCAAGUUUAACGGUGUAGAAAUAUCCAAAUCACAUGAAAUUUUGAUAGAAAAUUCUUUAUACCAUAUAAAACAAGAUCAAUAACUUUGAUCUCAUCAUAUUUUGUAAGAUUUUUAUUUUCAGCCGUUGAUUUUGAGCCACUCUGAUCACUAGGCAAAUGAUAUCGAAAAAUUGCUAAAUUUAUUUUCUUGAUACUUCAAAUACUCUAGAUCAAGUCUAACGGAGCUGAUCGUCGAUUCGAAAGUCCGAACAUCGAAAACAAAAUGGAAGCACGGAGCCCUCCGUGCUUCCAUAAGCAUUCUAACCGCACUCUAUAUAUAUAUAUAUAUAUAUAUAGCAACUACAAAUAAUAAUUUAAUAAUAAAUAUAAAAUAUCUAUAAAAUUAAAAUAUUUUUAGUAUUAAUUUUUUUCAUAGUAUUAUGACACUUGCAAUCGUAAUUUUAUAAUAUUAUAAAAGUAAAAAAAAAACUGUAAGUAUUUUUAACUUUUUUAGAUUUUUUAUAGUAAAAGAUGGUGCUUCUAUUUACCAUAUUAACAUACUAGUCAUAACCAUCUAAGUUUAUUAAUUAAUACACCCAAAAUCAUAUCGAAUAUUUAUUUGAGAUUGGGAACAAUAAACAUACAUGUACAUAAUUAUCCAGAGAUAAAGUAGUGUACACAGCAAGAUUGUAGAAGAGGUAAACUAAAAAUAACACUCACUAAAAGCCAGGGCAAUGUGCCCUAGGGCGCAAGAUUAUACACAAAGUUACAGUACUGUUAUAGAUUCUCUGAUGUGACAUUAAAAAAAACUUAAAAUGCCUCGUAAUCCUAAUGAUAUAAUAGAAAUAAACAGUGCUAUUCAUACACCAUAUAAAUAAAUGUAAAACUUACGCCUAUAAAUUCUUUAUGAACUAUAUUAAUCCAUUUGUCUUAUUAAUUUUUUUUAACUAAAAACUUCAAUAGAAUAUUUUAAAAGUUUAAAUUAUAGAUGUAAGAUAUACAUCCUCUAAAAAGAAUGUAUCGACAAUAUUUUUUAAUAUAUAUACAAUAUUAAUUAUUUUAUUGAUAGUACAACAUUAUGUAGCUAAAAGUACUUUCCAAAAGGACUAUUAAUAAAAAGACAAUAAUAAUAAUAAUAAAGCGCAUAGUAAAGUAAGGAGUUAUGUUUUCUAUUUUAGGUUUUUGGGUAAAAAUAUACUGAUAAAAAAAAUAUUUGUUUUAUAAUUUUUAUUUAAGUCUUCAAUAAAAUAAACUUUUUAAAUGAACUAAAGUGUCCCUCCUCUAUAUCGGCAAGAUUUUAUUAGAAACUGAAAUAGAAGUCAAAGAAGGGUAAAACGUUAAACACUCUUUAAGUAAUAGAAUGAUAAACUCCCUCUAUGCUAUACAAAGAGUGUUGAAACUUAAUUUUCCGUAAAUAAAUAAACUUAGGGCUAGUUCAUGUCAGAUUUAUGUCCUCCAUGUACUUUUUGUAGUGAAGAAAAAAACAUGAAGGGAAAAUUAUUGGCAUAUUUUAUGCUUUUUUUUUUUUUGGCCUUCCUUGUGCAUUUUUAGAAUUUUAUUAUAUUUUAUUUACUUUUGUUUACUGUUCCGUUUUGUGACAAAUAAUGAUGGGAAUAGGUUUUAAACUGAUGGGAACAUAUUAGGAAAAGGGGGAGUCUCCCUCCGCCCACUCGUUUUUCUUAGCUAAUUUAGGCGAAUUCAGAACGAAUAAUUAUUAUUUUUUGUUUUUCGACUUCAACUUAUAGUUACUUCGCUCCGGACAGAUGUAUUACAGGAGCUCUAUCAAUACGGAUUCAUUUGCACCCCUAGUUUCGACCAAACCGUCUCGAGGAUCCGAGUUCUAUGCCUUCGCUCAGCGAUGUGGUUACCCCACCCACCACUUAUUUCGAAUGCCACAUUUUCCCCUCUGCAACAGUAACUUGCCAAUAUAGAAAAUACAAGAGAAUAUCUUCUCCGUACAAUGAUUAACUAAUUUAGCAUUUCUUGUGGGGGCUAAACAGAGGCCUCAUUUUCGCACUAUCGUAUGUCACACUACAUAUGAGUCUGAUUUACCAGCUGUGAGUAGCUCUAGGCCUCCGUGGCUCCACGUCAAAUUCGAAAUAAGACGCGUCACGUCGUUAAAAGUUUUAGAAAAUAUAUUUUGUAAUUUUGUCAAAUUUUCAAAUACUUCCAUUAUGUUUAAUAGCAGUUAUAUAUAUAUAUAUAUUUCAUUGCUCUAAAUGUAUAACGUACUGCACUGUAGAUCUCACAUUUUAAUUAAUUUGGUCCCAGAAACCCCUUUCCAGUGAUGCUUCAAAAGGAAGCUCAAUUAUGAACAGCUUGUGAAGGAAACGCUUAAAUAUUUCGUGUACAACGCAUGGCAAUUUAUAAAUUAAUUGGAGGUGGUAUAAAGUGUUGCUACGUUGCAUGAGGCGCGCAGCUUGUGUGAUUGAUGCUUUUCCUCUACCGGAACACAACUCAGGAAGAGCUUUUUUGUCUUGUAUAUAUAUAUAUAUAUAUAUAACCACAUCACGUAGAUUCUUAAUACCAUUUUUUAAUUAAAAAAAAUGGGGGGAAAAAAAAAAAAGCAGACCAUGAGGUGUUUGUGACGUUAGGUAGCGUUAUUCUUUGGAUUUAAUUAGGUGGGGAUUUAACGGGUCGGAUUCGUUAACAUCUUAAGGGGUCCGUGGUAUCAAUUUCUAGAGCUUCACGUCGACCUAUCGUUAAAGUUCAAAAGCACACUGAUUUGCUUAGCUACAGUGGGAUCUAAUUAAAGCAUGCGAUAGGUUUUGUAGCCUAAUUUUUCACCUAUUAUUCACUAAUAAAAGAAGUAACUGGGCCAAUGAUCAUGACAUGGAUAAUAUAGUUUUAACCUCCAAAAGUGAGAGGAGGAUCCAAGGAGUAAUCAAUGAGGGGUCUAUAUUUUGGACCCCCACCAAAUUUUAAAAUAAUAAUAAUAAAACAAAAAACCAAAAACAAAAAAUCAUGGUGCUUGACUUGCAUAAAUGAACGCCAUGGAUUAAUUAAAUGGAAUUAAUUGCCACCUAACAGAUAGAAUCCGUCGUCUAGCUCAUACAAGUUUUGUCCCCGCAUGCGCCACCCCCACCAACACCCAAUAAGAUCUCUUCAAUAUAAACCAUCAUUUUUUCCUUUAUUUAAUUAUUUGUUGAAUAUAAAAUAUCAAUACAAUUAACAAGCAGCUUAAAUUUUUAGAGAAAAUUAAUUAUUUCUAUAAUAUUAUCAGCACAUGUCGUAUUGAUAUUGAGUUCCACUAAAAUCUAAUUUUCACUAAUAUUGUCACUAAUAUUGUCGAACAAAUUUUGUCCCCACAUGGGCCACUCUCACCAUCCCCCAAUGAUCUAUUGAAUAUUCUAUUAUUUUUUUCCAAAAAAAUUAAUAUAAUAUAAUUAAUGAGCACAGCUUAAGUUUUUAGCGAAAAAAAAAAAUUUUUUUUAUAAUAUUAUCAGCACAUGAGGUGUUGAUAUUGAAUUCCAUUAAAAUCUAAAUAUUAUCGUACAAGUUUUGUCCCCAUAGGGGCCACCCUGACCAUCACCCAAUAAUCUCUUAUUCUCUUGCAUAUUCCAUCAUUAUUUCCUUUCAUCAUUUGUUGAAUAUAAAAACAUAAAUAUAAUUAACAAACAGUUUAAGUUCUUAGCAAAAAAUUAUUAUUUUCUAUAAUAUUAUCAACACAUGAUCGAUGUUUUGAUAUUGAAUUCCACUAAAUUCCAAUUUCGGUUGUCAACAUGUCUCUAUUCGAUAGACAAAAUAAGGAAUAUAUAAAAUAUUAAAAUAUUAUUAUUAUUAUUAUUUAAUAGCUUAUAUUUGUUACAAAAAAAACAUUAUUUUGCAUACUUACAUAAUGAUAUUCUAUUGCAUCGCUUAACAAAGGGCAGGAAUUGGCCUCUAAAUACCACAUGAAAAAAACAGUGUAUUUUACGUUUUAAUAAACAUCAUUAAUUCUCCAAUAGAUUUUUGGAAAAUAACAAUUAUUCCAUAUUAUUUAAUACAAUAUCAGAGCAUAAGGUUCUAGAUUCGAAUCAAUAUAAGCUUUUGAAGAACAUUUAUUCAUAUUAUGUAAUAUUAAUGUGAUAUAUUAGACCUUAGGUUUUGUUGACGCUUUGUAUAUAUAGACAUAUAUAUUUUUGUGCAUGCGACGGGUCUGUUGACUUAAUCCGAACUUUUGCUGUAAUCCAACACAUAACAAUUAAUUAAGUGAAUAAUUAAAAUGAGUGAUAGAUUGAUUAAAGAACAUUUGAAAAAAAAAAAAAAAAACAUUGCACCUUAUUUUUAGUUUUUUAAUAACUUAUAUUUAAAUAAACAAAAUAAUUAUUUUACAUUUUAGAGAAUGGUAUAUAUUGCGUUGCAUCACAUAUAAAAAAGGCAGGAAUUUGCCUCUAAACUCCACGUGAAAAUAAAGAAAGUAUAUUUUACGUUUUACCUAAGUAACAAAUAAAUGAUUAUAUUAAUUAAAAUCAUUUGAAAAAAAAAUAGAUGUUGUACCUAAUUACUAAACAUGAGUUGAUUGUUGUUCCAGCUGCUGCCUCUCCUCGAUGGAUUCAUGUAUCACGUUUUGCUAAACUCCAAUUCCGACUCGCGAACAUGUCUCGCUUGCGCACACAAAAAAGAAUGUUAAAUACAAAAUAUUAAAUCACUAUUUUUAGUUUUUUUUAAUAGCUUAUAUUAAUAAAAAAAAUUCUUUUUUUUUUUUAGAAAGAUGUAGCUAGCUAUCCGCUUCAUUUAUUAAGCAAAAUGAACUAAGCUUUCAAGAUAGAAGCAGUCAAGACUUCCGAGGGAAAAGAAAAGAGAAAACAAAAUAAAAAAAAAAAGGAAAAAGAAUGAGAAAUAAACAAACUAGAAUAGAAUGGUGUAAGAUGAGUAGUAGACUAUGCUCUGCAGAAUUUACUCCAAUUGGUCAGAAAAAGUUUCACAUGUUCCAACAAAUGCAGAAGAUUGGGGGAGGGGAUCUCACUUGGAAGAUAAAAAUGUUCUGCUUCGGUCCAGACAACCCACCAAAUAGCCGACAGUAGAAAUAGUCUCUUUUGUCUCAUCUCAGUAUCUUCUAGGUUGAAAAUCUUUCUCCAAAGUUCUCGAGCCUCCUCCGAGGGUUUGAGGAGUAUUUCUACUCCAUCUGCGCGGAGGAGAAGGUAUUUGACAUACACGCAGUUAAAAAAUAGAUAGUCACAGGUUUCCAAGUCAUUGGCACAGAAGACGCAAGCUUGCUCCUCAAGCCAUCCUCGGUUUCACAUUCUAUCAGCAGCUAGGAUUCUAUUACAGAGGAGUAAUUAACCAAAUGAAGACUUGAUUUUAACUAGAAUUGUCAAUCUCCAUAUAUACUAACUCAUCGGGUCUUUCCGUCCAGCAUCUGUAAGAAACGAGUAAAGUGAUUUGACAGUAAAUUAUUAGUUUGAAGUCCAGCGCAAGUUGAUCGAGCCCAAGUCCAACCUAUUGAUUGGGCAGAAAGGCUAGAGCAGGUCCUUUAAUUUCGAUAACUGACUGUCCCUUCUUGUAGAAUGGGACGACACGUAACCACAACAGAUAUAGUGCCAUCUCCAACCUUCCAAGGAAAAAAAUGCUUAUUUUACUUUUUUAACACUCAAGGCCUUUAGGGGCCAUUUGUCCUCAUUAGAUAAUGAUAUUAUUUCCAUUGCAUCACAUACAAAAAAGGUAGGAGUUUGCCUCUAAAAACCACGUGAAAAAAAUGAGAGCGCAUUUUGCGUUUUAUGUAAGUAAAUAAUUCAAAUAUAUGAUUAGAUUCACUAAAUAUCAUUUGACAAAGAAUAAAUAUUGCACCGAAUUAACUUAAACUAGGACAACAUCAAGGAAGAGUAAUUAAACACCAGUUGAUUAUUGUCUCAGCUAGUUGAUGGAUUAAUAUAUAUCAUGUUUUGUUAAAAUUCUCACUUCAAAAGAAAUCAAAUUACUAUAUUUUACAAUUAUAUGCAUCUAAUUAAGUUGGAUAUAUGGUGUGCUUGAUUUAUUAUCUAGUGAAAAGUUUGGUCCAGAUAUAAGUAUAAGUUACUGAUCACGUGCAUCGUGUUUCUCCAACCCUAAGAAAGUGAGAGAUUUUGCUCCAACCUAAACGUGCGUGAAAUUAAUAUCUCUUAAUUAAUUACCUCUCCAAUUUGUGUUGAUUGCAACAACUUUUUGGGACCACGUUCAAGGAUUGUUUGGUUUCAAGUAAAUUUAUCGAUUUUUUUUUUUUUUAGUUUGUUGUAAAACAAAGAGAUUUUGCAUCACAAAUUAUUUUAGUUUUCUGAUGUUAUGUUUUUUCUUUCAUUGUUUGAUUAUAUAAUAAAUUAUUUCAAGUUUUUAGUUAAAUAUAUGUAUUUUCAAUAUAUUUUAUACUGUGCUUUAUGCACAUCUAACGCUAUAUUUAUUGUAUAUAAUAUUAAUAUUUUAUACAUAUAUUUAUAUAUAUAUAAUGCUCGGUCCAAUGGGAAACCAAGUUGCACUUCUUACGUGGUCCACCAGGCCUGGCGUGCAUUUGUGGACCCGCUUGAGUGCUCCAAGCCUUGCACCGCAUUUUUAUUUUUCCCCCCUUCCACUUCAAUUUUCGGACUUUUUAGAGGGAAAAAUGAAAAAGUAAAAUUUUUAAGUAAAAUUGUAAAAUAAUUUUACACAAAAAGCUAUUUACAAGCAUCCAAAUGCUUAAAAAUUUAUUUUUCAAGACUAAAAUAAUUUUCAGCCUGAUUUUAUAAGGAUCUAACCAUUUUCUUAACUUGGCCGAUUUUUAAAUUUAGAAUUUCGAAUAUCAAUCAUCAAGUCUUUUACCAUUUGUGCUAUAUGGGUGAUUGGUUUUUGUGUACAUGCAAUACAAAAAUGAUACUGUUGAGGCUAAUUACUCUAGCUACUAUUAUAUUCAAAAAGAAAAUAUAAAGUCUCUUACAUUAAUACAAUACUGUUGAGUCAACUCAUGUCAUAAUUAAUUUCACCACACCAUUUUGUUUUGGUCAUUAUAAAAUCAGUUUUCAAUCUCCACUCCUGACCACCACAAUUGCUUGCGUUGAUGAAAUUUUACAUGCAAAAUCCAGUAACGAGUAUAUUCAAACAACUUAAUUCACUCAAUGCCAAUCAGAUCCAAACUUUUCAAUCACUUUUCAAGUAUCUUUGUGCUAUUUUGCUUCUUUAGUAGAGGAAUAGGGCUUGAUUUAUAAAAUGUGCACGUUAAAUUGCAUAUUCCACAUGCAAAAUUUCCUCUUCUAUCCGGGCAAUGAUGGAGACAAAACAAAAAUUGGCAACUUUUUGUCUUGCUCUUUGUAAAUUUUUGUAUUGAUCUAUGAUUUACUUUAGAGGCUUAAAGGCUUAAAAAUUCGAUUUAAAGAGUAAAGCUUUUCUCUCGCCCUUUUUUUAUUUUUUUUAUUUUUAUUUUUUCACAUCCAACAAUGCGCAUUCUCAUUUGAUCCAUUAUACAGAAUAUCUGUGUUGUUGGAGUAGAUACAUAAUCAUAUAUAGUAAAGUUGCAGGAGGUCUUAACUUUAAAUUAUAAUUACCAAAUUUUAAUUUCUAAUUAAAUUUCCUUCUAUUUAAUUAAAACUCAUAUAUUUAACCUAGUAAAAAAAAAAUCUCAAAUUCAAACAUGAAAGAAUUAUAUAAAAGACUAAAAUAGCAUUCUCUCAUAUGUGUUGUUGUUGUUGUUGUUGUUUUUUUUUUUUUUUUUUUUUUUUUUUUUUUUUUUUUUUGUGAGAGAGAGAUAGCUAGGUAGCAUGCUACCCAUUUAAUUCGUUUACUUUAUUUAGAAAUAAACUUAGCUGGAAAUGUGAAUCAAUUAGAAUUUGAACUUGAGACCUCGGAUAUCAACCACCAAGCCCUUUGCCACUUGCUCUAGGGACAGUCGGUGCAUUCUCUCAUAUGUUACUUUACAACAGAUGAGGCGGCCUGCACAGUAUAAAGUGCGCGGAAUUUCAACCUCACAUUAAAUAUCACCAUUACAUGCAAUUCAAAAUUCUUCGCAUGAUCGUUAUCAUAGAGAGAAAAGAAGAACUUAAAUCUGUUUACUUAUUAUACUUAUGAGCAAUGCUUCAAUACUCCGUUGUAAUCUUAGCCGUUUAUUUUUAAUCAAUGAAGGGUUAAGAUUUAUGCAUAAAAAAAGGUGACCUGCUAUUGCACAAGAAGUACCGGUCACCAGGUAUGUGAUUUAGGAGUUUUUUUGGAAAAAAAAGAGCUAAUAUAAAAAAUUAAAUAACUAAUAUUGGAAAGUUUUGCAUACUACCCUUAAAUCAUGGAGAUAAUAAAUUUUUAAUUAAAUUAUCCAUUUUUAAAGCGGAUUUUAAUAAAAAUUUAUGAUCGCAUUUGAGCCAUAAAUUUAGUAAUUUAUAAUUUAAAAUUAAUUUUCAAACAUCAAAACUUUAUGUUUAAAUAGUUAACAAAAUUUAUUUUUUAAGUAUAAUAUAAAUUAAAUCGAAAUUUAUAAUUUAAAUUUGAUCAUUAUUUUUGAAAUUUAAUGCUGUUUUUCAAUAUUGAAUUAACAAUUUCAACUUACUUUAAAAUGUAGAAAUCUUUUAUUUUAAAUAAAUAAUAAAUUGACAAUUUGAAUUGAAAUGUUUACUCGUUUAAAUAUAAAUUUUUCUUUCUAAAAUUUAAAUAUUAUAAAUACAAAGUUUAAACUCAAGUUAAAAUUUAAAUUCGAAUUUAUGAAGAUUUAUCACUUAUGAAAUUAGCCAUUAUCUAAGUUGGUAAGUAACAAAAUUAAAUUAGGAAAUGAAGAUUUGUUGGAUAUUAUUAAAUUUGGUAAUUGACUAAUGCAUAGUUUCAAAUAUUAUCUUUAUGAUUGAUUGGUAACCUGUUGAGCAGGUUACCAUUGUGUAAAAGUCAAUCUUAACCUUAAAAUUGAAUGGCCGGAUUUAAAUUGGCCGAUGUAUAGAAGUAUUUCUCAAAAAAAAAAAAAAAAAAACUUUUGGUGGGCUAAUACACCCAAAGGAGGAAAAAGUAUUUAAUGUGCUAACCAAUCAAUUGAUCGUGCUGAGAUUUCUUAAUUCGCAAAUUGUCUAUUCCUAUCGCAAAUUUUAGACUCAUAAUUUAGAAUAGAGAGAAAGGAAUCGAAUUGUCCAACAUGGCUGUGGUAUUAAUUAUUGAGUACUCCAAAAGAAAAUAGCGUACUACGCAAUGUCGUUAAUUAUUGAGUAUUCCAAAAUAAAACAGUAACUUGUGCCAUCGUACCUUGUCUUAUGUGGUUGGAUUGGCAUCUCUCCUAUUCCUUGGAGUAGAGUUUUGAAGUUUACAGGCGAGAAAAAUUAUUUUCAGUAUAAGAAAUACUUUUUCGCUUUUUUGGUUCGACGUUUUACGAAUUAAAAAAAAAAAAAAUUGAAGUUUUUACUUUACGUUAUUUUUCAGCAGAAAACGAAAAUUCAAGCUGCAUAAAACUUUUUUCAUUCUCUUUUUUUUUACCAAACCAAACAAAUGCGAAUUAUUUUUCUUUCUAACUAAAUAAAUAUUGAUGAAAAAUUAUAUUUUUCCUACAAAUUAAAUACUAUAAGACGUGAAAAAACUUUCCACUAAUGUUUUUACAUAAAAUAUUAUUUUUUACGAUUUUACGUUGAACCAAACGGGUCACGCUGUUGUUGGGGGUCAAUUUGGAAGUUCCUUGGGGUAGGAUUUUGAAGUUUAGUGGUAUGUGGGCAAAGAUCAUAAUUAAAAGGAAAAAACAAAAAAAAAAAAAGGUUAUAUCUGAAGUAACAUGCCAAAGAUGUGCGAAAUGAACAUCGCCUGCAAAACAAAGGUUUGGGUCAACUUUUUUGCUUGUGAACUUUUCUCAAACAGAACAGAAAUAAAAAACAAAAAACUUGUGGUUUGUGGUUGGUAGCUACACAAGAUAUAGAAACUUCUAGUUUAGAGCCUUUUCCCAGUUGUAGUUGGAAUACAACUAUCACCUUGUUAGGAGAUUGUGAAUCCAACCAAAGUAUAGGUUUUCAAACCAAUUAUGGUUCAAUUAUCAAAAUCAUAUUAUAGUAAUGCAUGUUUGGUAUCUAUCUAUCAAAAAUUUUGUUGUAACUAAAAGCUAAUAACAGUUGUAGUAGUAGUAGUAGUAGUAGUAGUAUUAGUAGCAGUUGUAGUAGUGGUGGUUGUAGUUAGGGGUGGCAAUCCAGCUCGCUGUUCGUGAGCCAGCUCGUGUUCGGCUCGAAAUGAGCUCGAGAUCGGCUCGCUCGUUUAGUAAACGAGCCAAACACGAGCUUGAUUUUUCAGCUCGUUUAAUAAACGAGCCGAACACGAGCUGGGGUCAGCUCGUUCGUGUUCGGCUCGAUAACAGCUCGAAUACAUAUAUUUUAUAUUUAUAUAAUUUAUUUAAUUUUAUACUUUUAUAUAAAAAUAAAUAUUAUGAUAUAAUAUAUUUUAUUAUUUAAUUUUACAAAAUAAAAUAUAAAAUGCGAUUAAUUAUUAAAAAGACUGAUUUAUAUGUAAAGUUUCAAACUAUUAGAUCAAAGUCUAAUAGAUAAGAUUUUAUAAAUUAUUUAUAUAUAUUUAAUCUAAUUUUUCUUUUUAAUUUAUUGUUCGUUCGCCAGCUCGUGAGCCAGCUCGUGUUCGGCUCGUUAAUAAACGAGCCGAACACGAGAGCUGAAUUUUUCAGCUCGAUACUUUAACUGAGCAGCUCGAUGUUCGGCUUCGUCUAAUAAACGAGCCGAACACGAGCCGACCCUAGCUCCGCCUCGUGUUCGGCUCGUUUACACCCCUAGUUGUAGUAGUCGUAGUAGUGGUGGUAGCUCUUCCUUUCUCCUGUGCUUCAUUUUUUUUCCGAUUUAGUUUUUUUUUGUUCGUCUUUUGUUUCGUCUCGCCCAUCUCGCUCCCCUCUUUCGGAAGUCCUGGCUGCUUCCAUUAUGUAAGUCUGAUUCAUUUUCUUAAUAAAUGAAACAGAUAGCUCGCUAUCUAAUUCUCAAAAAAAAAAAAACUAAAAGCUAAUAACAUGAGGCUUCAAAAACUCAAAAACAAACCGAAGCUCCAUUUUGAAGGUCUUUUACUUAGUAGUGUAGUAAGCAAUUGAUGCAGAGACUUUAACAAAAGAUUUAUGGUGCCUCUCAGAAAAGCUAUAUUUCAAUAAAAAUUUUGUAAUAACUCACCGGCCAAAAUAGCUCGAAAUCUGAAACCAAGAACAGUGACAUUUAUUAAGUGGUAGUUGGACCGAAUCCACUUAUUUGCACACAUUUCUUGCAGAUCUAAGGUUGGUGUCUUAAAUCGUAAUGGUAUGGUCCUCCCAAAAAACUUCACAUACAUUCCCUCUACAUAUUUGACAGUGUUUGGCUCAAAUAUAAGUAAAAACUGUUUAUUUCAGGAAUAGAUACAAGUUCAGAUAUAAACAAGAACUAGACUAAUUUUGCGUUUGGAUAAAAACUCAGUUGUUUUUGGGAAUAAGAUAAGAACAAGAUGAAUAAGAGUUAUAAUUUUAAAUAAAAAAUAUUUUAUCUAAUUAAUUAAUGACAAAAUAUUAAUUAAAAAUAUUUUAAUAAGUUAAUAAAUUUAUUAGCUAUGAAUAUUGUAUAAGACAAAAAGAAUAUAUUAAUUAAUUAAUUAAAUAUAAAGUAUAAUUUAACUUUUUACUUAGUUGGUAAAUUAUUUUAGUUAUAUAACUAGUAAAAAAAUUAAUUAUAUUAAAAGAAAUAUUAAUGGUUGAUUAAUAUAAAUAUUAGUUUAUGAAUAAACACAUAAAAUUAUUAAUAAUUAAUUAGCUAAUUAAUUAGAAAUAAUAAAUUAAUUAAUUACUUUUUUAUUUAAGUAAUGAAUAAUUAUUUUUAAAUAUAUUGAUUAGAUUAAUUAAUGAUUUAAUACUGUAAUUAAAACUAAAUUUAAAUUUGAAUUAAUCUUGUUUCCACUUGGGAACAAGUUUGUUUCAGGGAAAAUGCUGGAACUGCUGUUUCAGUCUUAUAUCAGUUUAUUUUAAGAAUCCGAGAACUACUGUUCUUAACUACUAAAUACAACAUUUGGGAACAAAAGAAGGAAUAAAGAAAGGAACAAGUGCUUAUUCCCCUCUUUAUUUUCGAACCAAAGGAGGGCCAACGAUCCCUAGAGCAAGUGGCAAAGGGCUUGGAAGUUGGUAUCCGAGACCCAAGUUCGAAUCCUAGUUGAUUCACAUUUCCAGCUAAGUUUAUUUCUAAAUAAAAUAAACGAAGCGGGUAGCAUGCUACCUAUCUCUCUCAAAAAAAAAAAAAAAGAGGAGGGCCAACGAUCCAAAUUGUCCACAAAAGUAAGGGCCCCAUGACAAAACCCUCAAGUUUUGAUCUGAUCCAAUCAAUCAAUGUUGGGUGAUUCUUAUUGCAAAGGAUCCUGACCUAACUCAUUGCAUAUGGAUCUUCCUUGCCAUAAAAGCCCAAGCAACAUAAAUGUCAUUGGUUGUGUUCCAUUAAUAAGUGUUUUCCUUUUGCUUUUGGUUUUACCUUUUUAUUUUUAAAGUUUCAAAUUUAGUGAAGUAAUAGAUGAAGGGAUUUAGGUUGCAUGGUCCUUUCAUAUAUAACUCGGUAAAUAAAAACUUUGAUUGCUUUGAUCGCUAACUUGAACUAUAUACGAUCCAGUUAUUCUAAUAUCAUCAAAAAAAAAAAAAAACUAUAUUUUCUUUCAUUACUACGUUUUUGCGUUGUUCCCACACUUGGAUCUCUGGUGCACCACUACUGACGUGGUAAACCAAGUGCAUGCACCAUUUUCUGCGAAAGAGGAAACGUUCAGAGGAGAAUGCGUGGCAUAGUUGGGCUAGGCUCGGACCAUGGUCUCAUUGAGCCGGGCUAGAGUUUAUUGGGCUUUGCACGAGCCCAAAACUAGCCGUUAAUUAAUAAGUCUAUUAUUUUGGCUACUCUCGUUUUCAACCAUAAAUAGAAAGUUUUCAAUUCUGGUCGGGGUAAUCCGUAAGCUUUGACCUAUGCACCGUAAUUAAUGUAAGAUGAUUUGUAUGUUAAAAUUAAAUUUUAGUUUGACAAACGUAAUCUGCUAAAUCGACGAGUCCAUCUAUGAAGCUUACAAGCUUUGAAAACUUAUUAUCCAAAUAUCAAAAUAGUUCUAAACAUUGCUCGUUUGAUAAGCACUACUAAUAAUAAGUGCGCAUUAUAACUUGUUGGCCGUUGUGCCGAAUUAAAUUGUAAUCUCGAGAAUCCACAUUCGUGAUUUUAUGUGUAGAACUCGGUGCACCAAGUGCAUGCAGUAAUUUCUCUCGUAAGCCAAGGAAACUGAUGCUACAUGCCGGGCAUUCAUAUAGAUCUGGUACGACACAUCAGCCGUGGACCACCAAAUCAUUACCAUCGUAAUCUUUACAUAAUUUAAAAAUUAUAGUGGUUGAACCUAGGCAGCUCAUAGCUGAUAUGGUGAACCAGGCGCACCCAUUAUUAUCGAUAUCAUAAAGUCAAAAUUGCAUAAAGUUUGAGAUUGCGGAAAGAUUACGUUGCAUGUAUUGAAAAAGUACGAUAGAAAAAUACUCUGUUUGUUUCCGAACGUAAUAUCGCGUUCCGCAUAUCACAAUGAAUCAGUUAUAAUAUAUUUUUUACGGUCCAAUCGGGGAACGUAAAAAUAUAUCCCUAAAUACUUUUCUCCUAACUCCAUUUUAUUUAAUAGCAUCAAAUAAACCUCAAUACCAAACUAAGCCUAAGCCUCCUCCCAAUGUUAAAAAUGAAAUAAUCCAGAUAGGUCCUUCACCAAUUAGUGAGUCUCAAGGCUGAGAAAAAAACCUUAUUAGAUAACCCAUUGGGCCCACUACUGGACUCUUCUCACUGGGCCCAGUGCACAGAUUUACACCGCAUCGCCCCCUCCUGUGCACAGGUUUGGUCCACUAGUUCCUUGGGCGAGACCGAAUCCUAUUUGUUAUUGGGCUGAGCUAAAGCUUCUAUUGGGCUCGAUCUUUUAUCCCAAAUAGAACCCUAAUUUCUGCUGCGCAGGUAUUAGCCAAAAGUAUUUUCAUAAAAUAAUAAUAAUAAAAUAACAGAUAUCAGUCGCUAGAUUUUUCUUUUCUUUUUAAUAAAAAGAGCGCCCAAUAAUAAUGAUCUUAGUAAGAAUGAUAAUAGUAAGACCAAUAAUAAUGAUCUUAGUAACAAUGAUAAUAGUAAGUUCAACACACUACCAACCGUAGAUCCGUGAACAAACACAAUGAAAAGAACCCAGAAUUUGGGCGCUAGUAUCAAAAGCAACAAAAAGAAUCCUUCAAGGCUAAAAGAAAGCAGUGCCUGCCAUUUAAAAAGAGUACGAAACAUACCGGGGUACAACUAACACAGUACCUGCAGCAGCAGCAGCAGCAGCAGCAGCAACAAAGGCGAGCUGAAUAGGGUGCGUGCAAGAGAACUCUAUUGCUGGGCGCAUUGAACCCUUGGAGCUGCAUCCUCGUCUUCAUCGUAUGCUUCCUGCUGCUGCUGUUCUAACCGUCUGCGCCUCAUCUCCACUUCAAUAUCCACGUCGUACAUGGUCGUCUCCUCGCAAUUCUGUAGCGCUGCAUCCGACAGUUGGCUGCUGCCGGGCCUACGCGGCAGAAUCUUCUCCAGUGCACGGCACUGAUCAAGAGAGAGCAUCCCUGAGUCAGGGAGCUCGACGUUGAAUUGGACGUAGAGGCGGCCCUUCAUGAACGGCCGGCCGUGGUGGGGCAUGCCCUCGUCAUCGAUCGCCUUGUAUUGACCUAAAUUUUAAAGUGUGUCAGAGUCGGAGGGUACAAAAGUAGAAUCAGCAAAUUUGUUUACAUGUUGGUAGAGGAUAGAGAAGCAAAUUGAUAGGAAAGUAUACCUGGCUUAAUGACUUCCCCAGGAUUCGACUUGAUUAGCAGCUGUCGGCCAUCAAGAUGGAUGAGAGUGAAUUGGAAACCGCAAAGUGCCUCUGUCAGGCUGAGUGUAUGGUCGAUGUAGAGGUCAUCAUACUUCCUCUUAAAUUUAGGGUGCUCUUUAACUUGCAAGACAAUUACUAUAUCUCCUGUUACUGUAUCAGGCUGCAAUAAUUGUAGUAGUGUUAACGACUGAAAAUACAAGCCAACAUUGAUCCAACAUAGAAACAUAUAACAAAACCGAAAGAAUUAGCCUCCCCCCCAAAAAAUAAAAACUAAUUAGAAAUAGCUCAAAGCUAACAAUUGCAACAAAGAAUUAAAGCAAGGGUCGGGUCGACAAGUACUCACAGCUUCAUCAGCUUCUCCUUGGAAUACAAUCUUCUGGCCAUGCUGCAUCCCCUUCUCGACAUGAACCUCCAACACCUUCUUCUCCUGAACGACUUUGUUACCCUUGCAGUUUGGGCACUUGUCUUUGUCGCUGAUGACCUCGCCUGCAUAACAACAACAUAAUUGGGAGAUGGCGAAGGAACCAAAGGGAAAAAAAGAAGAAGAAAUGAGUAGAACCAAACCAAAAAUUGGUACAAAGCACUGCACGAAACUAACCUGAGCCUCUGCACUCUGGGCAAACAUGUUGCAUCUGUUGGAUCAUGCCUAGUCCUAUCUGUCUAGUCACUGUCCUCACUCCUGAACCUUGGCAUCCGAAGCAUCUUCCUGAUGCACCACUUUUCGAACCUUUUCUGAAUAUUAAUGAAUGUAGCAAGAAACAUAAGAACUGAGAGAGACUAGUAAAACGGGGAAUUAAAAGUCACUUGGAAGGAACAACAGGGGAGAACACUGUCAUCAAAUUGCUUCAUAACCAGACCUAAACAUAGUAUAGAGCCUCGUAAAAAAGGAAUUAGUGUCCUGCUAAUGAAGCGCAUAGUAGCUAAUUAGAAGCAAAGAAUAGAGGAAACUUAAAUGCUGAGAAGACGUCUACGCACAACUUUUUACAAUCUAACAAAACUUUGUUACUAAGUCAACCUCGUUUACCAAACCUCAGGACUUGAUCUAGCAGUAGAAAAGGAACUAAAAAAGUGUUUUAGUUGACUGCAAUAAUUUGUCCAAAAUAUCGAGGAUUGGAGAAAAAAAUGACUAGCACCAAUAGUCAACCACAUCACGCAAACUUAAUCCUGAAGGAUGUUUGUUUAGUUUAGAUUGUUGCGUUAGGCUCUUAUUUAAACCGGAUUACUAGAUACCUCGAUAUUCACGAAUGCAAUGGUUACCUACCAAAGUAACGGAUGGAAACAUGACGUGUCAAAUCUUGUUCUUGCAAUUAAAUGUUUUGCUAACUAAAAGGGAAAAAAGAAAGAAAAAAAAAACAUCAACAAGCACUUACUAGUAAUUGCACAGGCACAUUCAUAUCCAAAAGGUAACCAUCAGAGCUUAAUGCAUGAUCCCGUGAGUUUAACUCAAUUUUCAUCCCAAUCUUAGAAAGGAAUGGCUUACGCAAUUCACACCAAGAGCAGCUCUUCAUUUAUGUUCAAAAUUGAAAAUAUGAAUCAAAAUCAACUACUUGUUGAAGAACUUUUAUGAUGACAUUUAAAUAUGGAUAAGGGCAUCAUCAACAUUAAAGAUCGAGCUGAUGGAAUCAUUAGUAUUCUAUGCACAUGCAUAAUCCACCAAAAGAUAAAUGCACAGAAACCUUAUAGGUUCCUAAACCAAAAGCAGAUGAUUGUUUUCUUAACUCAAAUAAUGGAACAAAAUUUGCAGUAACGUACCCUUUGCACUUAGGGCACAGCACGUUUCUUGACAAGGAAAGCUUCUUAGAUGUACCAUUAUACAAGUCCUCCAAAGAAACCUUCAGCGAAUGAACUACUUCUUCGCCUUUUCUUUGCCUGUGACCUCUGGAACUACCACCUUUCAUUGAGACAGCAAGAAAAUGUAAAUGAAUGAUCUUAAAAAUAGGAAUAAGAAAAGGAGAAAAAAAAAGACAUAUCAGAUUAUCCCUACCACCACCAAAAGAACCACCACCAAAGAAUUGCUCAAAUAUAUCAAAUGGAUUGUGUGAAGCGCUGCCUCCUCCCAUUCCCUCUUUAAGCGCAUCUUCCCCAUAUUGAUCAUAAAUCUCCCUCUUUUCUGGAUCACUAAGAACCUCAUAUGCUUGAGCCAACUCUUUAAACUAUUUGACAGCGACAACAAAUAGGAAACAAGUCGUCACGUCGAGGUACAUCAAACAUCAUAAGUUACACCUAUAAAUAGGACUAAGAAAACUGCAUAGACACUAUUGAUAAUCCAAUAAAAACAAAAAAUGGUGCAAAUAUCAGAUAAAUUGGUUCACCUUCUCUGGAUCGCCACCCUUGUCAGGGUGGUUCUUUAUAGCGGCUCUCCUAUAAGCCUUCUUAAGUUCAUCUUGGCUUGCAGUCUUUGGCACACCGAGAAUCUCAUAAUACUUGGUGUUGUCACUUUUCCUCUGAGCGCGCCCAAACAUGAUCACAACUUUAUGGUGAACUUUUCUUGUCUAGAUAUUUUAUUGCCUAUAAAUGUUAACAAAGAGAAUUUUAAUAAAGAAAGAAACCAUAUUUUUACCAAAUCAUAAGUACUAAAUUCUCUGAAAACAAAUGUCCCAAACCUACUUGGUGGUGUUUGAAUGCAAUAAUGUCUAACAACAAGGCUAUUUGCUAUGAACCAAAAGAAAGUUUCCGUUUUUAGGAGUUUUAAAGCAUAACUCCAAAAUACUUCAUAGAAAGAGGGGGAAAAGAAAAACUAACCUAACUCUUGUUAAAAUCUAUGGCAACGGUCUACAACUACAUAGAAAUUAAAAUAAACACUACACUUUUCGGCUUUUCCUGCUUCUCCUAACAAUCACCAGUGAAUUCCUUCAAAGAAAACAAAAUCGUCUAAGUACUUCCCACAAAAUAAGUUUCAAGUUUGUAGAAACCUAGAUCGGACUUGGGGGAGAUCGAUUUUUACGAACCUGCAUGAAUUUAUUCGAUUGGAAAAAAAAUAAAAAUUUGGAAACAAAUGUGUAAGAUAAUAAAGAAACCGUCGUUUUUUGUUCGCUCCAACAAAAAAAAAAAAACGACAUAUUCAUCAAAUAAAUCUUCCCAAAGCACACAAAAGUCGAUCUUUUCCAACAACUUCCAAACAAAAAAAUAAUCGGAAACCAGUUUGGGACACUAGAAAAUAGAGAGAUCACGAAAUCAUUUGAUGAAUUUACCUAAUUCGAGGUCGGGAGACGAAACCCUAGCCCAAUUUGGGGAUCGAAUUGGUGCGGCGGAGGCGACGAAGCGAGAAAUCGACGGAGAUAAAAGGCUUCGCGAUUUCGAGGAGAGAGAAGGAGAAAAUGGAGCGUGGGGACUCAAUAAAUAGGCGCUUUACGCGUAUAGUUUGAGCUCGGGGGCCGUGGUGCGAUCUCGACCGUCCGAUGUUCCGAAGCGGACCGUCGAGAUUAUCGUGGGAGACGUAUGGGUCCUGCUGGGCACUCGACAUCACUAAAAACCAAAAUCCCGUAGUCGCCUCCUUUUGUUGACCCCGUACACUGAAGAAUUCCUUUUUUUUUUUUAUUUCUUUUUUUCGGGGCGGAAGGAAGAGAGAAACGCUUUUGGUAAUCGAAAAAGAAAAUGAAAAUAUCUUGGACUCUUUAAUCACGUGUACGCCGUGUUGUAUUUUUCAAUCGAGCAAUUAAUUAAUUCUUCUAAAUGACCCCAGAUACAAUUCACCUUACCGCUGCAUAACAGAGAUGAUGAUGAUGGAAGUGAGCUCUCGGCCGAAGCGGCGAAGUAUGAGCCCCAUGAGUUAAGGUAAAGCGAAUCAAAAUAACGUAACUCGGGUUGCCCGUAUCAAAAUUGUAAAUGUAAGCAUAAUAUUGACUUUCACCACAAAAACAUGUAAGAUGUAGAAUGAAGUUCGUAAAAUAAUCUUAGUUGUGAUGGAUGUACUCAAAAAUGAAAUAUUAUCCAUAACAAAUUAUCUUUCUGGCGACCAAGAAAACUUAUUAAUAUCUAAACAUGAGAUAAAGAAUGAAGAAAUAAUCCACAGACUCCCUAGCUGCGCAAUAUUUCUAAAGCAGAUGACCACACCCAAUCAAUUAGCAGAAUAAUGACUCUAAUCAGUUCCGCCAGAAGCGAAUAUCUCGGUCAGCUCUUCAGCAUGAAGUGCUAUGCUGAUGUACACUCUCAGGCAGUUUCUGACAUGAGCAUCACCAAAUAAUCGAAAAUUGCCCACUUCAUGAUUAGCAUAAUCAGCCCUGACAUUGUGAACCAUUAAAUUAUAUCUUCGUGACAACCCUUUUUGAAGGAGAGAACUGAACUCUCUUGCUCUGCCUAAAGCACUCGGACAAACAAGGCAGGGAAAACACCAGUUUAUGAUUUACAGGCAUUGUUUCUUCUCAUAAGCUCUAUGCUUGUUGCUAUAGUUGAUCCAGCAGUCCCCACAAACCCUAACGACGCACAACUACAUGCAGAUUCUUCCACAUAUAACAAAAUAUCCGGCAAAGAUGAUGGAUCACAAAUCCUUUUCUCAUUAUUUCCAUCAACAAUUCUAGGAAGGAAACCAGAUUUCAAGCCAUGUUCCGAAGCCAUGAGCCUCUCAGCGGCUUUCAAUACUAAAUCAUCACUUUCUUGAAGGGUAUACAACUUGUACUGCUCGUUUUUCUCAAUUUCCCCCAGGUAAGUUUGGGUCCAGUUUGCCCUAGGAAGAUCCGUCAUGAUGAAGAUGUGAAUUGGACCAUUCAGCUGGUUCUCCUUGGCUUCUGAUUGAAGAGACAGCAGCUUCUGCUUUAGUUCAGAAAAAGUAGUUUUCCAAUGGUUCUUGAACUGUCCAUCUAAUAACCUAAGUUGGGCACAAAGAAAUGGCUUCUUUAUACUCGCAGCAAAAUCCUUUCCUGCAGCCAUAAUUUCUGAUACAAAUGGAAGGAAUUCGAUCUGUUUAAGCAACGACUGAAUCCUCGAGUCUUUUGGUGAUUCAUGGAUGUCAAUGUAAAGCUCAGAACCCUUGUAUGGUCCCGAGAAAAGGGUUCCAAAAGCCAAAACAGAGGAUGUUUCGGCUUCUGAACCGGGCCCAAAAGCCUUGUGAAUAUCUCUACGCUUUCUAAUAUAAGAAAUUUUCUUCUUCUUCUGCAACUCUUUGUCAGGCUGAAAAGAGUCUAAAGCCCCAUCACUAUUUUGUUGGUAUGUCCAGACUGUUGUUCGACAGUCCUCUUCUACAGUAUAUACACAGUGGUCGACAUUACCAUGCAGACCAGAUAACAAUGAUCUACACUGAUCAAAGUUGCCUGAUAAAGAGCCAGAACCCGACACAGCACAACAUAAGUCACCGAAACAAGCUUUUUCCAUAUUUAGGCCACACCACAUUGAAGCAAAUACCCUAAAAUCAAUCGUUUUAACCACAGUUGAUGAUAUUGAAGAUAUAUCAACAAUAUCAGCCAUUGAUACAUACCUGGAAUACAAAACAAGAAAUAAAAUAUAUUUCGCAAAAUGGAAAGAUAAAAAAGCUACAAUAUUUGAUAAUUUGUUGUUCAUGUUUCACAACAGAAAAGUAGAAAAAUCUAAACAGAACCAAUAUUUACUAAGGAACAUGUUAGUUAAGGAUUAAGACAACUUAAGAAGUACCAUAUCAGUGCACUUGCAAGGGAUUGACCUCAUCAAAUAAGAACGUCAGUCAUAAACUUACAUUCUCCUCCAACAGAAUUGCUAAUAACUAAACGCUCACCACGAGACUACAAAAUAAAAUCAUUUACUCGAGAGGCCAUCUCUUAAGUAGUGAAAAUACAAUAGUCCUUCGCUGAAGGCCUCUCAAGUUUCAACAUGCAACUUUCUUAAAAGCAUCAACUAACACCAAGUAUCAUGCAGAACAUAUAUUUUUAAUCUGGAAAAAUGAAACUGACAUGGGCGGACAUUUCUGUACCUCAGUGGAGAAAGCUUACUCUCAUUGUUUAAGCAUAGAAAUUUUUGCCAAUGAUAAAAAAUAACUGCUUAAAGAAAAGUUUUCACGCUUGGCUAUAGAACCACACUAAACUUUGCACUUGCUUUGACCUCGGCAUCACAAAAAGUGACACAUGAAUCAGAUAUCACCUACGAGUCAUGCUAAGUAAUUCAUAAUGCAAACAAAGUCUCCUAAACCGUCAUUGCCGAUUUGAGUGCACUCGAUGAAAAACCUGCUAGAGAGAGGCAGGCAUGCAAUCUUCGCGAACAAACUCAUAUAUGAAUCAUGAGAAUUCCCACAAUCCUUUAUCAAAAUCAUGGACUACGUAAACGAAUGGCAAUUGAUUUUCCUAGCAUCUAAACUGAUUAUAAUGACCGUGGCCAUAUCUCUCAUCGAUUCAACUUAAUUAGCUACUCCCAUCACACUUCCAAAAGAUAAAAAGCAUAUCAUAAUCGAAACAAUUAAGCAACACAAGAAGUUGACGAGGCCGCUCACCUCCGAUCUCGGAUCAGGUCCAUGAUGUGAUCCCACACGGCGGCGCGGAGCUCGGCGGGGGCGGAGACCCUGAACUUAGGGCAACUGCCGAGGGCGACGGCGUGGUGGUCGAGCACCGGGGGAACGACGAGGGUGCGGUUGAGGAUGGCGGCGACGACGGCGGCGUUCUUGAGCUCCCCGACCUGAUUGCUGAAACCGCUGUGGGGGGCGUACCAUAGGAACCGCUCGCCGGAGAGUGCUCCGCCUCCGCCGGCGCCGCAUUGGUGAUCUAGGGUUUGGCGAGGGGAGGAGAAGGGGAGGAGGGAUCGGAGGAGAGAGGAAUAGGAGGAGGUGAGAAGGAAGAGGAAGAGGAGGAGAAGGGAGAGGGGGAGGAAGGAGAGGAGGAAGAGGAGGGGUUUGCUCCGUUGUGUUCGCUUCCUCCACCGACUUCGGCUCGCCGCUGACCAAUCCAUUGGGGGAAGAUCCAACUCACUUACGGUCGCAACCUGGUUUUCAUCUCAGUUCUUAUUAGAAGUUAGAACUGGAAAUUUUUACAGUGGUACCCUCAAAUUUACGUAUACAAGUACUAAUCUUUUUAUUUAAAAAGAUUAUGAAUAAAAAAAUAUGUGAGUAUAAGUUAAAUUAUAGACCACGAAUAUCCGUAUAUAUUUUUUAAUUUUAAAAUAUAUUUUUAAUUAAAAGGAGGGCUUUUUUUUUUGCAAAUAGUCCUAUGAUAAAAUUUUAUUUUAAAAUUAGCCCUGUCAAAAAUUUAUUUACAAAAAUGGUUCUGUCCCUGCCACGCAAGCGCCACGUCAGUACCACGCGGGCGGGGCAGGACUUUAAGUUGAACACGGUGAAUGAUUCAUCGUGUCCAAUAUGAUAUUUGUAUUGGACACGGUGAACUAUUCACCGUGUUCAACUUAAAGUCCUGCCCCGCCGGCGUGGCGCUGACGUAACGCUUGCGUGGUAGGGACAGGACCAUUUUUACAAAUAAAUUUUUGAUAGAGUUAAUUUUAAAAUAAAAUUUUGUGAAGGGGCUAUUUGCAAAAAAAAUCCAAUAAAAGAAUAUUUUUUUCUGUUUAUCAAUUCUUAAAAACCAUAAACNAAUUUCACCGUCCUUUUUUUUUUUUUUCUGCUGUGUCCACCUCUUCUACCAUACUCUCUCUUGCCGCACCGCUCUACCAUCCUCGAGCGGUCCAGCUUAUUAUAUGUAAAAUACUUUAUAUAUAUAAUUUAUGUCUUAAAAUUUUAUUAUAUACUGUGAUUUAAAUAAUAAAUUAUAUUACGAUCUUUUAACAUGGAUGGCUUAAAUUUGAAGCUUAAUUGCUUCACUUCUCAAGCUGAAUUUAUUUAUUUAUUUAUUUUAAAAAAAAGGUCGGAGUAGCUGAGCUAUGCCUUUCAAGGACCUCUCAAAACAGUUUGCAUAUUGCUACGAGUCAUUCAUUUCAAAACUGAAAGAGUGAAAUUCAGUUCCUUAUCAUUAUUUUUGGAAGAAAAACAGAAAACAUGCAUAUUUACUGCAAUCAACUUGGACUUGAACCUGACCAAUUAGUAAUUACAGACACCUUAGCAAUUCGAUUCAGCAGUAUACAUCUUGGAACGACAGAAUCUUCCCAAUAGAUAAUCUGGUAGUACACACAGUAUUUAUUCAAUGUGUACCAGUUGGUUAGGAAGAGAAUUUUGUGCCUAACAUACAAAGAUAGUUCACCUUCGAUUUUAUAUAAAUUCUAUGACAUUUUGAACACAAAUGUAUAAUAUUCUGACAACUAACAAGUAACAAGUUCAUCAGUCACAUUCACUGUCAAACUAAAUCGGCUUCUUAUUUAGAUGAGUAUGAAACUCUUAAUCGCUCCCUGAGGUAGUCACCGCUGCGGAUAGGAGGGAACCUGCAAGACAGCUUGUCAAAAAGGAACUACUAAGCAGAACAGAACACUUGCUACAGCAAAUAUUUCUGGAAUCUCGAAACUGGCAAAAUUCUCAGCAAAAUGUCUUGAAUAUAGAGAAAAUAGUCAAUUUAGAAUUCAUCUGAAAUUUACAUAUUAAUUUUGCUUUUUUGCAAUUGUCGUAAACAUGAUUCAGUCUAGGAUGUUUCUACUGGACGGUUGCCAUGCCAUGCCCAUAAAUGUUUUUUCGUUCGAUUUUGCCUUUUCCUUUUUCUUUCCUGCCUGAUUUCAUAUGAUCUAUGUGCAUUGCUAUUUAUACAUUUCAGUGGAUGCAGUUUCUCUUGUCUCUCAGAAAAAUGAUUUCCCACUAUUGUGUCUGUGUGUGUGUGUAUGCGUAUGCGUGUGUGUGUGUGUGUGUGUGUGUGUGAAUAUCUUUUGCUUGAGAAGAGGGGGAAAGAGUGGGGGCAAGGGAGAGCGCCCGAGUNGAGAGAGAGAGAGAGAGAGAGAGAGAGAGAGAGAGAGAGAGAGAGAGAGACCUCGGAGGAGAUGUCUUGCUGCAGCAGCUUUCCAAGCACUCUACCACACAGUCAUAGUUAGGAUCAAGAAAGAAGGCAACCUGAGACAUUUGUAUCUUUGUCAGCAGAAUAUUACACUACAGUUAGUGAAAGAGCACAAAACUUUUGUCAUAUUUUGCCCGCUGUUGGUGUAUUCUCAUGAAGAGAGAGAAGCCAUAUAUUUUUUCAUUAAAAUAGGUUUAAUUAUUUUUUGUGUUCUCUUUAGGUCUAAGUAUGAUGUGAAUGAAAUUUAGUCAAGUACUAAUCCAACAAUAGACCAACUAGAGAACAACAGUGAGCCCCAUGAACACAGAGUCAGUAAUUACAGAAUAGCGUUCCUUUCCAAUAACAAGGACUCGAUGUAGAGUUGAUCUGCAAAAUGGGAAAAAAAAAAAAAAAGCAUCAUAAAAAGGCGGAGGAACAUAGUACUUGUGAUUUCACAUCAAGGAUGUAUGUUAAACAGACAAGGGAACAGUAGAUUGAAAGAUGGACAUAUUUGACAAUAGCCAAAGCAUUCUUAAUGAAUACGGUUGCAUAUAGGAAAGACAGUUACCGGAAAAUACAAUUGGUCCACCUUUCCAACAUAUCACCAAUGUUAACAAUCAACGCCCUGCAGGUAAAGGAAUCCGAGUUGACAUGUAUCAACGUGAGGAACAUCCAAUGCAUGAUGCUGAUUCUUCCCGAUCAUACUCUUUAUCUAAUAAAAGAAAGUGAUGAUUCUUCUUACCCAUCAAUAUGAGAAACAUCCUCCCAGAGCUGUGGAUGCUUUUCCUUCUCCCUGCAAAUCUGUAUAUUUCUAAACGAUUCACCAAUGAAUUGUCUGGGUACUAGAGGGCAAAACAUAAGCUAUUGAUAACAAUGGAAAUGUGUCUUCAUGACAUGCCUGGAGACCGGGGACACCAUCUGUUGCCAGAAGUGUUACCAUCCCGUAGUCUGAAUGGGCCGACGCACCAUAAUUACCUUUGUCGGAUGCACCCAGUUCGCCUGAAUGGCAAUGUUAGAGACAAUGUCAUAACAAGAACACCUGAGAAGAUUUAAUAGGAUCUUACAAUGGUUAGAAUAUUUAAGGAAAAAACAACGAAAAUAAUGACCAUCAAAGGUCUCACCAACUUCAGAGAUAAUUAUGAGUCUAAUAAAUUCUCAAACUCGACAAAAUGAGAAUAGCUGAACAGCCAAUCCACUUGGCAUGGGAUUGCUGAGUACAUAACAUAUAUACAAAGAUAUGACGCAAGAAAGAAAUAUUAGAGAUGGAUAAGGUGAAGUUAUUCGUUUGGUCAACAGGUGCCAGGUGGGCUCAGAUCCUGCUGAUGGUACUUCAAUAACAUAGUUGAGAAUCAAGUGCAUUAUUGUACCUGGAUAAUGCAAUAGGCGAAGAAAUGCCAUGGGUGAAUUCAAUGCCCCGAUCUUCUCGAAGAACUGAUCAUCAAGGUUCAAUGCAAAUGCAAUCAGAGAAAGUAGUCUUCUACCCACAGCCCUAAGGAAAGAAAAUACACCAGAUUUGCAUCCAACCGAUACAGGGUUACAUUAGAAUCUCAGAUGAGCCCCAAAAUUAGACAGCUGAGGUCUUCAAUAGAAGGGUUAAGUUCAGGAGGCUAAGCUUAGUUCAAUCGGCUCAUUAUAAAGCUCAAUAUGUGGUAAAACCUUGACUCUAUACCUAAAACAUCUAUAAGUAAACAAAGCAGGCCCAAUCAGCCUAUUAUUGGUUCAGAUUACCUCAUUGCAUUACACAAGAUGUGGGAGAAACUAUAUGAAUUACAAGUAACACAUUUACUUGCAUAAUAGAAAUUCAUUUUUUUUCUUUUUCUUGUGGAUUGGAAUGUUUUCAUAGAAGUGAGCAGAAAGACCCCACAAAGAUUUAGCUUAGUGAACAUAAGCUCUGAGAAGCAUCUUUGGCAUAUACCAAAAAAAAAAAAAGGUGUUACAAAGUGAAAUUUCUUAGAAAAUUUGAAACUUCCACCGUGAUGUAUCAACAUAUACAGAUAUACAAAACCAUGUAGAAAACUUACAGGACUCUUUCAUAAUAUGACUCCAUUGUAGCUCUCCAAGAUGGCAAACUUUCUAUAAUAUCCUAGCCAUAAAAAUAAAAAAAUAAAAAAAAGAAGAAAGAUGUAGAUUUAUACUUCAAAAAUUAACACAAAAGAUAUGCAAAAAAGCUGCAUGUGACUUUAGAAAAGGUAGCACUAUCGUCACAUGAUUUAUUUCCGAUUGCAUCUUCAGCAACAGAUCGUUAAGAAGGAGACAUUAAUUUACAGCGACUACUGAUGCCACGAUAGACGAAACUGCCAUAGUACCAAAUACUACCUUCCAAAGGCCAUUGAUUUGGGUCCUUCCCCGAACUUGUGCCCCCGUUAGGACCAAUGUAGAAACUUUCCUUCAGGUCACCUACGCACAAUUUCUUUCAGUAGUAAAUUAGACUGCUCUGUAGACUGCUCCCUUAACUGAUCGGCAUAAAAUCAUGCACUCUUAUUCUUCAAUAAAGCGAAAGUGGCCUCAUAAGAUAUAUCAUUUUGCAUCAAAUUACAUCAAUAAAAUUAUUAAAGUACAACAGUGCAAAUAGAUCAAGAAAUCUACCAUCCCUGAUAUGAUAGUAACAAGUAACUAUUUAUUUCAUCUCAAUUACAUGCCCAUAACUGAUUCGACUCUCUACAAUGACCACUAUUACGAUGCAGAAGCGAAAUCAAAUAUCAUCAUCUAAUAGCAUGUAGAUAAUGGGAGAUAGACCUUUGAAUUCGGAGGAAGGAUCGAGAGUCUCGGCAUAUAUGGGAGUAUAGCCUCUGUGCGCAUCGUUAUGCUCGAGCUUCAUCUUCUCUUCCGGGGGCAAUGCAAAGAACUUCUUGCUCUCGCGGAACACCUCCCAUAUGAGUGUGUCCUCUAUUCCAUGAUUUAUCAGGUAAAAGAAACCGUACUCCACACAUGCCUGAAAAAAAAAAAAAAAAAAUGUCAAAAACAAUGUUGUUUCCACCUACACGCGCAGAAAAAAAAAGGCGGUGCGUUUUGUUCUACUCUUUACCGAGAAAGUUUCAGAUUCCAUCUGUUUCAGUUUCAUCUCUUCUCGUGUCAGAACCAUUUUUUCGUCAGUUUUCAGUGUGAGCAGGGGAAAAAAGGGGAAACAAAAGAACUAGCACGAAUAACUGGAAUAGGAGAAAAAAUGAAUUAGGGUUAUGUCGUGGUCAUCGCGAUUUGUAGAUUACCUUACGGAUCAGUUGGGCGGUGGCGAAGGGAUCGGAGGAGGAGAGGUCGACGAGAGGGAGCUCUAGAUUGCGCGACAUUUUUGGUCCUGCGCUUUUCCGCCACACUCCUCGCUUACGACCCGAGCACAGCGAAUUCCCAUGUGGCCAUGUGUGUGUGUGUGUGUGUGUGUGUGUGUGUGUGUGUGUUUUUUUUUUUUUUGUAGGGGUGGCGNUCGCGAUUUGUAGAUUACCUUACGGAUCAGUUGGGCGGUGGCGAAGGGAUCGGAGGAGGAGAGGUCGACGAGAGGGAGCUCUAGAUUGCGCGACAUUUUUGGUCCUGCGCUUUUCCGCCACACAACUCGCUUAUGACCCGAGCACAGCGAAUUCCCAUGUAUGUGUGUGUGUGUGUGUGUGUGUGUGUGUUUUUGUAGGGGUGGCAAUCCCGUUCAUGAGCUAGCUCGUGUUCGGCUCGAAAUAAACGACCUAGCUCGUGUUCGGUUUGAAAUGAGCUCGAGAUCAAAUUGCUUGUUUAGUAAACGAGCCGAACAUGAACUCUCGUAUUCGGCUCGAUAAUAGUUUGAAUACAUAUAUUUUAUUUUAGAUAUUUUUUUAUUUUUUAAAAUUUUAUACUUUUCUUUAAUGUAAUUAUGUAAUAUGAUUACUUCAAAAUUUAUAUAAUUUUUUUGUAAUUUUUUUAAAAUAUCAAUUUCACCUGAAAUAAUAAAACAUUAUGAAAAAAAAGUUAUUAACUUUAUAUUAAAGUUGGUUAUUGGAUCAAACAAAUGUAUUAAAACAUUUAUAUUAAAAAUCUAUAAAAUUGAAAGUAAAAAUUAUUUAUCUCUAAGCUUCAAAUUUUAUAUAAUAUUAAUCAAUAAUAUUAAAAAAUUAAAUUUAUUGUUAGUGCUUAAUUUUUAAAAAAAUUAUAAAAUUUUUAAAAGAGUUUUAAAAAAAUUGGGCAUAAUUGUGUAAAUUAAAAAUUAAAACUAUAAAUAAAAAAUUUAUAAUUUAAAAAUUACUUAUCUCUUUUUCUUAAAAAAAAAAAUUUAAACAAAUACAAAAAGUACAAGAAGAAAGGGGAAAAACCCCAGGGCUGGCACGAAGCUCGGCCCGGCCCAUGCCGGGCAGGCCAGGGCCGGACCGGGCCUUACCCUCUGAGUAAAAGAGCUGGCACAGCCUGGCCUGGAUUUGUAACUGGGACGGACCUGGCUGACCCGUGGCCUGAAUCGACCCGGAUAAUGUGGGCCGUGUAGGGUCGGCACGACCAUUAUACUUUUACACCAACUUCAUUCUAUCUAAUAGCACCAGAUAGAAUUCAAUGUUAAAAUAAGGUUUCGUUUGAGAUUGCGAGAAGAUUGAGUUAAGUGUGGUGAGAAAAUAUAAUAAGAAAAAAUUCUGUUUAUUUCCGUAUGUUCAAACGAAGCCUUAGUUUGGUAUUGAGAUCUAUCUAUCGUUAUUAGAUAAAAUAAAAUUAAAAUAAAAGCAUAUAAGAAUAUGUUUCUACGUUCUCUGGUGUGACCGAAGAAAAUAUAUCAUAAUCGACUCAUCGCUAUAUGCGAAAUGUAAUAUUACAUACGGAAACAAAUAGAAUAUUUUUUCAUCGUACAUUUUACCGCACAUAACGAAAUUUCUCUACAAUUUCAAACAAAACCGAAGCCGUUAUAGGUGACGCGGAAGUGAUAAGAUAAUAGUAUAAUUAGUGAUACGUCAUAAUUAAGGUGUCACAUCAUAUUUAUAACAAUUUAUAUCAAUGACAUGUUAAUAUUUAUUUAACUAAAUUAAAUUAUAAAAAUUAAUUAUAAUAUUUUUUAUAAAAAGUAUAUUAAAUUAAAAUUUAAGGACGGAGACAGCACCCUCCUAAUAGUUUGAUCACCGAAACUGCGAGUUACUUUUUUUUGUUUGAAAAAAAAAAUAUAUACAUUUGGCGAGCGUUUCGAACAGACUUACACGUGCCACGUGGAUUCAGUGUGAUCACAAUCGCGCGAGCCACCGUACGCCUCGCACGUGCACCACGCCGCACCCAAAGCAAAAUGGAGGAGGUAAAACCUUGAGGAGAAGCUACACGCCACUGGAUACCGUUAUUCCAGUUGACCGUAGUUCUCUCACUUGACCAACUACUAGUAAAGAAGCUCGUCGACGAAAUACCCUUUAUUUAACACCCCACCCAACCCCACCCCCACAACAAAAACUCCCGAGAGGGUUUCGAUCACAAAGUUGGGGCCGAAGCUUCGAGUCAUUCAAAAAAUCUCUCUCUCUCUCUCUCUCUCUCUCUCUCUCUCCUCGAUUCCCACGCCGUGGAGAUCGAAAAAGGUGAGAUCGGGAUCUCUCCUCGAUUGUUUUAUAGGGUUUUGGAUCGUUUCGUUUCUUUUUUCUUCUUGCUUUUUUAUUAUUUCGAAUUCGAAUUUUAUCCCCCCGUUUUUUCCGCUCCUGAUCGAAUUCUUUGGGUUUUCGGAUGUUUCGAUUUGAAUUUUCCUUCAUAUUUCUUCGGAUUGAUUGGAGUUUUCUCCGAUAUAUGCUCGAUUUUUGGUUGUUUUGAUCGGAUUUUUAGGGUUUUAUGUAUCUCUUCGUUUUAUUUUGUUGAUCUUAUUGUAAUGAUUUUUUCCUCUACAUAUUCUUUAUAUGUUUCGUCAGUUUGCUUUUCCUUGGAGUGAUUUCGCCCUGAUUUCCUUUUCUCUAAUCAUAGGAGGUUUGAUCGAACCUUUUAAACCUUGCUAUUGAAUUAUAGUUGAUAAAAUACUUGAAUUUUCUUGGUUGUUUAGCGGAUUAGGGUUUACGCAGGGCCCCUUUUCUUGAAGACCAUUUGAUUAUUGGAGUGGUUCAUGCUCUUCAGCUACUUGAUUACCCUUCUCAAUGCCUCUCCAGACAUCGCCCCGCUGGCGUGAGCGGGCAACGGACUUCUUCUCUUCUUCCGGUAAUCAAAUUACCAGUUAUCCGUGUUUCAAUUUGAAUUUUCUUUAAUUUGCCUUUCUUUUUUUUGUGCUGUUUGUCCUCCUGAUUCUUUCCCACUACGCUUUGACACAGGGAUCAAAAUUAAGCAGGCCAGCCAAUCGGCAGGAGGAAACGUUGCUGAUGCAGCCGGUAAGGUCGGCUCCAUGGUGAAAAGUAGGUGGGCUCUCUUUCAAGAAACUAGGCAGCGCAGGCCGCCGGCACCUCCUGUAGAGAGGGUGCAAGAACGCCUAAUUUCUGCUGCAGCUUCCACAGGGGUGCUUCUGAGGAAGGGCUUUUCUGAGACGAAGGAGAAGGUUGCUGUCGGAAAGCUGAAAGUUGAAGAGGUAUAGCUUGAUUCAAGUUUGAGGAUUAUUAGUCCUUUCUUCUGUUGGGAUAUAAACAUGAUUGCACUAUGAAUUGUUUCCCUACUCCUGGUGAUGGUGCAAAUUAAUCAGCAAUCUGGAGAUGAACUUGUUGUGUUAGAAGUACGAAUGUGGACACAUAAGUUUCCAUAUGAUCUUCUGCAAGUGUUGUAGUUAUGUCACAAUAAUUUUUGAUUAGGGGAUAGUGUGAGAACAUGUUGAAUAUCUUGGUUGUUCCUGAUGGUUUCAUGACUGCAUGAUCUGUGUUAUCUAGAGUUUCCGGAGCAUCUUCUACCAAGAAGAUGCAAUUGUAAUUUGUCUAAUAUAAUUUAGUUCACGAUUGCUUACUGUCCCCUUUCUUGAUAUAUGCUUGAUAGCAAACUGUAACUAGCAUCAUCAUAUUUGGUUUUUCUUAGUUCUUAGUCGCCACUCUUUGGCCCCAUUCUAUGGCAUUGAUCUAUUCGUCUACUUGGUAUUAAUGCCAGUGGCAUCAUCUCUCUCUGCAGGCAGCGAAGAAGACUGCUGAUAAAAGUAAGAGUAUUUUGAACAACAUUGAGCGGUGGCAAAAGGUCUGUCACUUAAACUAAAUAGGGGAAAAGUUUCUUUCACGCUCAGUUCAUGCAUUGUGGUUCUUAUAUAUAUAUAUUUUUGAAAAUUUUGCAGGGCGUUGCCAGCAAUGAUGGUGAGUUGUAUCCACAAUUCUCUUUACAUAGAAAAUAGAAACCAUCUUGUAAUUGGAACUCUAAGUAAGGAUCUUUACUGUUUAUAUGUCACGCAUUCUUCCUGUCAUUUAUCCUGUAAAAAGAAUUUGAUCUAGAACUGAUGCACACAAUUAAAGUUUUAAGUUCUACCAUUAAUUUUCUUUAUAGAUGAAGACAAUAAAACAUCCUUGCAAGAAGGCUGAAACUUGGAUUGUUUGUAUGACUUUGAAUGUUGGGCCAUUUUUUGUCAGACCAGAUAGUCCAGAUAGGUUAGCAUGUUCUGAAGAUUUAGCACUUAACAGCUGUCUCAUCUCUGAUGCUGCUUUCUUCUAUGAAUGGCUGAUUCAGUUUCCUUUUCUCAUGGGAGAGUGAGUACUUGAAAUUUUUUAUAGCGCAGUGCUACCUGGCAGCAAUGAGUACUAAUUUUUUCAUUCAUGAAAUGAAUUCUCUACUAGAACAAAUAGCUAAUAUCCGUCGAGUUAUAUUUAGAUUACUUCCUCAAGAGGUUGAGUCCAUUGAGAUGACAAUCUUCAAUUUGCUUCUCUGUCUUUUAGAUGUACGUCACAACAUUAUAUCAAUAAUGUUUCAUAUUCAUAGUUUCAUACACUAGUACUUCUACACCCUGCUACUGGAGUAUUCUUUUCUUCUUUUAGUCUACAAAUGAGGAGAGUCUUUGAUAAUCCUGUAUAGUCAUUUUGACAUCUGAUACCCCUUAUGUAUAUUGGUAAGAACAUUAUAAUUUUGUUUACAUCUAAUGAAAUUGGUUAGUAGUUUAGUGAAAAAUAAACAAUUUAAAACGUGGGAACUUACUAACGUCUGGAUAAUUUUUUUUAAGAUCAACUUAUUAUUCUCUUAAUUUGGCCCAUUAACAAUUCGUGCUCAUAGUUGUCACAAUGUCACCAGAGUUCGUAAAUUUUCUUGGUGUACAACAAAUAUGCUUGCCUAUUAUGUUUUGCUAUCUUCACAGUCCCUCUUUGUUUUAUUCUAAGCUUUAAUUUUGCGAUUGAUUGUGAUACUGCCAAUAGAUUAUUCCUUCCGAUAUAGACAUGUCGGAGCAUACUGUGAGCUAUGUGAUAUCAUUAAUUUUUGCAGUUUUCGGUGUCCCGAUUGAGAUUAUUGUGCAACGACAGCACUCGACAAGAGCUGUGCCUCAAAUAUUGGUCAGAUGUGCAGAUAGCCUAAUUAUAUCAGGUAGUACCAGCAAAAAAGUUAGGAGCUAGUAAAUGCUUAAUCAGAGGACUAAUGAUCAGACUGUGGCACCAGGGUUAAAUUUUGAAUACUUGUUCAAAACUGAGGGAGACAGAAAGGUCAUUCGACAAUUAGUUUCACUUUACAACCAAGGUAUGGACACUUUACUUCCGAUUUAUCUGGUAAGGAUGUGUCACCCUAAAUUCAGUUUUGUGCUUUAUGUGAAAACAACAGACUGGAAUGCAACUUUGCCGGAGGGUGUAAGCCCAAUUGAUGUGGCUGCGCUGAUUAAAUGUUAUCUUGCUAGCCUUCCUGAGCCACUUGCUACAUUCGAUUUAUAUCAUGAGAUUAGAGAUGCCAGGAGUAGCAUACGUGAUAUGAGAAGCAUUUUGAAGAAGCUCCCUAAUGUGAAUUACAUGACACUGGAGUUUGUUACUGCUCUUCUCCUUCGAGUUAGCCAGAAGUCCUCACUCAACAAGGUAGUUUCUGCCAUUUGUUUGUCAUGGUUUGUUCGCCUCUACUAUAUUGAACGGUAUUCCUACUUUGGAUGUGGCUUGUUUUGUGCACAAGUCUGAAGUAAAAGGGUUGAGCUUUCUUGUACUGCCUAGAGAGCAGCGAUUUCCUAGUCCCUUCUAGAUGUUGUCUGGUCCAUCGAUAGUAUUUCCAGUUUGAUCAGUUAGGUGAAGUUAGAUGUCCUUUUCUGUGAUCACUUUGACUGGAUAGAGUAGAAUUAUUGUACAUUUGUUCCUUAUUUGCCUUCUGUUAUCCACUGUUUUUGACUAUGGCGUUUACCAAGAUAAUUUUUUUUUCUUUCCUUUCUAAUGUGAUUUGUCUGUAUCAAGUCGACCCAUGUGGUAGGUGGAAUCUGGAAUUCCACUUGAAACUUGAAAGUAGGAUUGAAUUACUCUUUUGCGAAUGACUGCAUUUGACAACUAUCCAACUUUGCCUUAAAAGGAUUUGAAUAUAGAAUGACACUUAUGCAGCAUAUAUAUAACUGGUGGUUCUGUCCAUACAAUGAUUUUAAUUCGAUGGUGUAGCCACUCUGUUAUUUCUUCACUUCUCUCAAGCAUUAUAUUUCAUACCUCUGUUAUUUCUUAUGCAAUCAUCAACAGCAAUUCUUUUUUGGUGUGUUUCUAGGCAAGUCAUAAACUCAUAGGUUUGUCACUGUACAAGUGGGAAGCAACUUUACCGUUGUCCAUUAUGCCAAAUCUGUGUUCACAUUAGAAUGUUUAACUAGACAGGAUACUAAGACUGGGAACCAAAAGCUUUUAAACAUAUGUUUAUACUCUUAAGCUAAGAUGAAGCCUACAAUAAGCUAUUGACGGUGGAAACCUAGAGUAAGCUAUUGGCAAUAGAUGAAACUGUUACAUAUAUGAUUGUUGGUGGUAGCCCCUUCCCUUUUUCUGUUUGUAUUAUAUCAUUGAUAUAAGUAUUGUGAUUCCUUACAUUUACAAUUUGGGUUACUCUUGCAACUCUGAUAGAGUGUGAUUUCUGUUUUUUCAAAUGCAGAUGAAUGCUCACAGCCUUGCUUUGGAAAUGGCACCCGUGAUUUUGUGGCGACAAGGUGAUUCUGGGACUGAUUUACGCAACCACCUUAGGUAUACAUUAAAAGCUCCUCCCAAGACUCUGGAUCCAGCAUCAAACAACUAUACAUGGGAGAACUAUUUGGGUAAAAUUUUGUACCGAUUUUAACUCCUAAUACCUCUACUUAAGGACAUCAAUGCUCUUUUAUUUCCACAUGCACUGCAAGUUAUUUCUAGAGUUGAAAUAAAUAAUCCUUGCUAUAGAAGCUUGCAAAAACUCGAAAAGGAAAAAACACUAGCAACAAUUUUUCACUGAGAACCAGUAUUACAUGGAGUGUGUAAUUCUCCUUAAUUUUUUGUGUUGCCAGAUGAAGACAAUAGCAUGGAUGCUUCUUCCCAAAUCCCUUUGGACGAUGGUCCACCACCUGAUUACGGUGCCAUUGAGGUUAUUCAGUGCCUCAUUGAGCACCAUAAUACCAUUUUCACAGAUGCUAACGAGACCAUAUGGAGAUAACUUUCAUGCUACGCAUGUUUGUGCAUUCUGGCCCUCUUGCUGUUUUGAACAAUUUUUCCUUGUAAAAAACAUAUUUUUUGGGGGGGGAUCAUGGAACAAUUUAGGAGUUAUUUAGAUUUUUGUCUUUUAUUUGGUUAACCUCUGUAGGAAAGAAAUGCAGGGAACAAUGAUUUGUCACUUGUAUAGUUAAAACUAAAAAUUGAUGGGUUUUGACUACAGUUUUGGAGCAUUAACCAUUUCAAAGUGAUUGUGGUAAAACAAUUCUUUAGACAAUCUCUCUGCAUCUAGUGAUAUAUCUUGGACCGCUGGAUGAGUUCAACUGUACAAGAAGUUUUUAAUCCACCACCAAACAAGCAGCUAAUACUGCAAGAGUGCUCAUCGUCAAUAAUCACAAUGCAACAAAGUUUGAGUUUUGCAUGAUACAGGAGACGCAUAUAAUCUGAAUGAAUGUACAUGUUAUGGUUGAACAUUUUAAACGGACAUUGAUAUCAGAAUUAUGUGGAACUUUAAAAGUGUACACAUGUUAGACAGAGCACAUACUUUGGACCAGUCCAAAUCCAAGUACCAAAGAAUAGUAACACACAACAAAUAAGUCACUACAAACAUUUAAUCAUCCUUGAUAGGAACACUUCAUAUUCUAAUUGUUCUUCCAGCUAAAGCUACACUACCAUGGCGAAGAUGAUGAAGCAGGGGGAGGGGGGGGCUCCAGGGAGUCGAACAUGUCCGAGGGGAGGUCGUCGAAAAAGAUAUCAGAUGGCACCCGAUGCUCGGUCUUACCGGCAUGAUCGUCAGAUUCUAAACCGAAGAAUGGCGACAACGCUUCCACGUGAUGAAGCUGGUCCCCUUGACAGGUCAGAUCAUCAAUAGAAUUCAUGUCAAUGUCAAAGCCCGAUACGAGGUCAGGAGUAUCCGGAAGGGCCGGAAGGUCGAUAAGAGGGUAGUGAAGGUGGUCGAAGGGGAUUUGCGAGAGCAGCGUAGAUUUCGAUGAGGUGGAUUGUCUCUCGAUUGCGGGUUCGAUCAUGGGUAAGGUUGUUUCCAAGUUGAGAAAGCUUGGGCUUGAUAAUUCUGGGAGUAUGGCUGUAGCAUUCUGAUUAUCGAUGCAAGAGCCUUUGCUGCAUUGGCCACCGGAGGAGUCUCCCUCGAAAAGAAUUAGAUCCAAGUUGGGAUCCUGAUCACAGUGAGAUUUGUUACAUGGUAAUUUGUAGUACUCCCAUCAGAUAGGAUUUUGAGAAUACAAGUAGACUAGCAGUAAAAGAACCCAGCAACACUAAUGAGAACCGGGGAUAAUCAGUGAACUCGUGACAUUGAAACCUUCUCUGAGAAUCGAAAUCGAAAAAUAAUAGCCAACAUUAUAUUGGAUCACUGUGACUUCAUCAAAACUAUACUGAAUCAUCAUCAUAGUUCGGUAAGCUAAGUAACACUUGACAUAUUUAAGAAACUGCAGAACCAAUUCAUACUUUGGAAAAUGUAUUGAUUUCGAAUACUUCGGAAGCGGCGUGUAACAUGCAGAACUUACCUUGAAGGUUUGCAAGUGAUCAUGGGAAUUUGGGAGGGGCGCCUUCGCCCCGUGGGUCUUACUGGAUCUGGCGGUCGGGAGGGGCGUUCGUAGGAUUCUGGCGAGCCGCUUCUGCCGUGUGCUCCAGAAGUUCUUCACGUCGUUGUCCGUCCUCCCUGGAAGGUACGUCGCUAUCCUCGCCCACUUGUUCCCUAACUGCGCCUGCAACUCUAUCACCACCCUCUCUUCCUCCGCUGAGAACUUGCAACCCCUUCAUUCAUUGAAUAUCAAAUUAUUCGAAUCAUGCAGGAAUUGUAUCAUAAAAUCUCGCUAACGUAACGUGCGCUAAUUAUAAUUUGAUCUGCUAACAUCAAUUUCAUAUAUAUAUAUAUAUAUAUAUAUAUAUAUAUAUAUAUAUAUAUAUAUAUAUAUCCACCAAUUUGGUACAAAAAGAAACUUGAUUAAUCGUGGCCCCAGUAAGAGCUCAGUGGCGUGAAUGUAAAAGUACAUACAGGAGCAUAAUGCAAGUGAAGUAAAAUGCUCAUGCCUCAUAUUUAUAUCAGCAUUCAAUAUUGCACCACAGCGGAACUCAAAAAACUCACCAGGGCGUUCCUUUUUUUUUUUUUUUUUUUUUACCGAGUAUGAANNNNNNNNNNNNNNUUUUUUUCAUACCGAGUAUGAAGAGAGACAUCUAAAUAAACUUCGUGGUAUUAAAAGCUGGGAAGAAAAUAUGAGAGAGAGAGAGAGGGAGAUUGAAAUACGUCUUCAAGUCAGGCUUGAGUUUAUUGACCCAGCGGAGGCGGCAGGACUUGCCGGUGCGGGGAAGGAGGCCCUUGGAUCGAAUGGAGCUCCAGUCGCGGGGGCCGUGGCUGCGAACGUACUCGAGCAAUAUCUCGUCCUCCUCCGCCAUCCACGGCCCCUUCCUCAGCACCGUUGUCGCCGCCACCGACCCUCCCGAUUCAUCUCUUGGUCUGCUACUGCUGCUGCCUCUGCUGUUACUGGUGCUACUGCUACUACUACCGACGCAACUACGGCUCCCUACUCGCCCAGAUAUCUGCAUUACGACAGUUGCUUCAAAUGCGAUGAGAAAUUAAACAAACAAAAUUUUAGUAGUUCUUAUUUCCGCUUUAAAACAAGGUUUGUUUGAUCGUAAAUUUCCUGUCCUUCCCCAUGCAACAGUUUCCUUCUUUGACAGCGUUGUGGAGUAUGAGUAUUAGUACUGUUUUUGAAUUCUUAACAAUGUACUAGCACACCCCGCCUAUCACAUAUCCUUCCUAUUCUUUAGGGAAGUGGCGAGGGGGUAGAGAGAGAGAUUUGAAUUACCCCACUAACCGUCCCACUAUGCCACGUUUGUGGGUGAAGCAGGGACCGUCGGAUUGGGGAAACAGCGAAUUUGUGCUAGGCACUGCCGCAUCUUUAACCGUUGAUUAAAUUUGAGAAUAAUCUCUGUGGAAGUGGAACUGCUUAUAUUAGUGUUCCACAAAAACCGAAAAGAAGAAGAAGAGGAAGAAGAAGAAGAAGAAGAGAGUUUAAAAAUAGAACUUCUAAUCCUGCGACAAAGAAGUAAUUGAGAAAAGUAAGCCCCUUAAUAAGGGGUGGAUAAUUACACAGACAACUGAUCUAUCUGAGAGGGAGACACUUUCAGAUCAAUAGAAACAUCAACUCUAGAGAACAACUCGUAUAAUAGGAUUCCUCGUUGCAUAAAAAGGAGGUAGUGUUCAAAACACUGAAGACAAAAUUGAGCAGGGCAUGCUUGCUUAGAGAUACAACUCGAGCCAAAAAGUAGCUACCUACCACAUAUUUUCAGUUGCUAAUCAGAAUCACUCUUUUGCCACAAUCCGUAUUCUCGCUUCAUCUCAAUGUCGCAGCCAAAUUAGAAGUUGCGUAGAAACACAAGGGACUACUCUAUGCAUCAGCUUCACAUCAAAUCCUACUUUUAUCUAGAUAUCAAGGAUCGAAUGAAUGAACAUCCCAGUAAAGAAGCAUGGUAUUGCGACUCAUGGCCCCAAGUUGAACUUCAUCGUGAGCAACAUCCAAUGAGGAGCCAUCACUGGGCAAUUGUGAUCAAGAGACAUUCGUGUAUGGAUAUCGAGUUCUGUUAAUCAACUGGUCUCUCUUGGAGGAGCCUUCGCCCAUCUAUGAAUUCUCGCACCAACCAACUUCAUGUCAUCCACCUGUUCAAUCAUCAGCACACCAAUGAGAGAGGGAUCACUUUAAAUGCAUGAAUAUCUUGUUCAGUAUAUCUCUCCUGUUUACUCAAGGGAAAAAGAUUUUUACAGUUGCAUACCAUAUAGAAUUUAAACCACUUCCCUCGAAAUUAUAUAUCACCUUGCAGGUCAAACUAUUUAGGUAAUAACGAUAGUUAAGAUCAAACUCCUGUGUUUGUAAUCACAAAACAUGUAAUGAGAUGCAAGGUGGAUAAACGGGCGGCGAACAAUUGUACAAUUGCACCAUGCUCAGGCAACAAUUCCGCAAAAGUAAUAGUAUACAGGAAAAAAAGAAUGGGAUGGUAUAGGAUUUAACGCGUUAAGCUUUGAGAUUUCGAUACUUACAGAUCCAACCUAAGCCAUGUAAACAGUUGAAAAGUUUCAACUGUUUCACAUGCAAGCUCACACUCACAAGCUUCAACUGUUUCCAUAGAACUCAUGGUUUCUACACAAAAAACAAUUGAUUGUAGAUUUCUGAGGGGAGAAAAAAAAAAGGCCUGCAAUUGAUACUAAAUUCAUCCCCCAUCAUUCAUGGAUUCCAUUUAUAUAAAUAUGGAAGGCUCAGAUUUAGCCUUAAACCAUAAUUUUUGUUAACCUACCCUGCUGCUGAAGCUAAAUGCAAUACAAUUAAAACAACAACAACAACAACAACAACAACAACAACAACAACAACAACAACGCAAUUGAGCCAAAAAGUGAUCAUGAAUGAAUGAAUCAACAACAGCUGGCCUGGGGAUGCAUUGCGAGAGAACUGGGAGGUGGAGGAGGGUUUACCGAGUGAACACCGGAAGCGACGACGGCGGAGGCGGCGGCGGCGGCGGCGGCGCCGACGAAGAGGGUGGCGAUGGCGAAGGCCUUGAAGGGCAUGGCGGCGCCGCUCUCGCCGCACCCUCGCCGGUACCACGCGAUCCCUCCGGCGAGCUGCGCCGAGCUCGCCCCCGCCCACCAUCUCCACCUCUCGUCCCCUCCUCCCUCCUCCUCCACCCCCUCCAUUUCCCUCCUCCUCCUCCUCCUCCGGAUUCCUCUUCUUCGUUUUUAGGAUUUUGAGAGAGAGUUUGGGAUUUAGGGUUUGGGAUUUUAGGGUUUGGGUUCGAUCUUUCGAAGCGUCGCCCCUGCCAAGUGCUCACCGAAGUAAGGAACAGGUUCUGUGAACUCAAACACCAACAGGGGUUGCCAUGAAAUUAUUGCGUGGACCGUCCACCAUAGACCACCGUGCCAAAAUACGACGUCCGAGCGGGGCUUAGGCCGGGCUUGAUUUUGGGCCUGAUUAAUUUUUGCCCUUUCUAAGCCCAGCCCAUUAACAAAGUUAUGUAUUAAUUAGUCUUUUUCUUUUUUCUUAAAAAAGCUGAGCCCGGUCCAAAUGCAUCGUCCCUGGUCAAACACUUUCGGACCGGGCUGGGUCAACAGAAUAAAUAAACUUGGCCUGGCCCAGGUUCUCUCUAGUGUUAACGUUGCGAUAAUUUUUUCCCUUUUUUUUUUUUUGGGUUAAAGUACUUUGAACUCCAAAAAUUUCCCAGGUAGAUUGUUACCGAAGGUCCAAAAGAGACCUCUUCUACAAAUCGUAAGAUAAUAUUACAAGUGCUCGCAACUAAUCAUGUCAUAGAUCAUGAUCGCACAAUGCUUGGACCUUAAAGUUGAUUAACGUUUGGUCCUUACCUUGCAGGAGCAUGUAUAAGGAAUCUAUGGAUAUGGAAAACAACCAAUGAAGCGAAAUUAUUUGAAAUGCUGUUUAUCUUACUUUUGCUUCCGUAUUGUUAUUACAUCGAUUGGAAACAGUGCUAGCAUGGGCUAAAAUGCAUUUGUUUCCCAUCUUCUUACUUAAGAUGAUCUUUCAGAUCUAAACUUGUGGUACGAGGAUGCAGCCUUGAUCCAAAGAAAACGGAUUAGUCAAUUUCGAAGAGCAAAAGUCUUUGGAAUCUGAGCUAUGGCCAAUGUGAUUAAAAGAGGCGAUACUCAUACUAUAGGAAAUGCACUAAUGCUUUUAUGUAUCUAUGAAGGUCCCCUAAGAAAGUAAUGCUGUAGCCAUGACCUAAAUCUGAGCAAAAUGAUAAAAAAUUUCUCUCUACCUGAACCAUCAAGAAAAUUAAUUACUUUGAUAGAACUACACGGAAUCAGGCAUAUUAUACAAGGAUGUGUUCCUCAAUUGAAUACCAUAGCAUUGGUUUACAACUUCAUUAAUAAAUUUAAUAUACGUAACUCAGUUGCUUCUAACACGAACUCCUCUAUCUAAGGAGUCAAAUAUUUAAUAAAUCUAAAGCUUCUGGCUUCUCUCCAUCUUCCAAGGAACCUCAAAGAAGUUAAAUUCGAGCACGAGUUUAAUGAAAUAGCAAGAUCCGAUGGGAUUACAAUGUGAAAACUGUUUCAGCCUCUCAAACAGCUUCAUUCAAGUAGUGCUUUUGCAGGAGCACUUGCCAGACCAAACACAUAAUUUGUACGGUGCAAAUAUAUGCAAAGAAAUUCAGUAUAUGAUAUGCCUGGAGCACAUGCUAUGAUUGUCAAAGUGCAAGAACUAACACACAUUCCCUAAUAGGAACACAGCAAGCAUGUUGCACCGUCUACUAGUUUUGUAGUAGGACCACUUCUAUCUUUUUCGAGCAAUAAGUGAAAAAUAAUUCAAUAAAACAGGUAAAAAAUACUAAGCAUUCGAUAUAAAAAAUCGAUACAAGAAAGCAACAUCAAUCAGAAAGAUUCGUUGCUUGACAAUAUCAACCAUUUCUUUGUUGGGGCUUGUUGACAAAGGAAUGCACUCCAAAACACUCAAUUGGGUUUAUCAUACUAAAGAAAGGAUCAUUUAACGGUAACACAGAAUGUCAAGUAAUGUCUUGUACUUAAAUUGUUUAUUAAAUGUAGUACCUCAUCAAGGAAAUUAUCAAAUCAAUACCAUCAUCAACCAUAAAAUAUUCUAAAUAAAGCCUAUUAAUCACCUAAUCAAUCAAACGGACUUCAAUAAAUUCUUGGCCUCAUGAACGAUUAUAGAUGAUAAGCCCACAUUGUAGAAAUAAGAUUAAUAAGCAUCAUCAGAAAGAAACUACAGGGCUAUAUAAAUAAAGCAGCCUGGAACAAACGACAGCAAAAGGCACUAAGAAACUUGCAAGGAAAGAGUUAAGAUGCUGAUACUGGAAUUCGGUAUCUGGGUCAUUCCAUUCACCCUCAUUCUCGCACCAUGCAGGCGCCUUGUGCUUCUGGUUGCUAAACUUCAGAAGCUCUAUCAAGGUAUUAUGUGUCCAAGAUCCACUUCUCCAGCCAUCGCGAACCGCUUGGCAAGGCUAAACACAAUGACCUUCACGUUGUAGAUAUGUAAUCCUCAAUGUAUAUCAGGUGGGGAAGUCGUUGAUAAACUCAGCUUUUUGAUAAUUUGAUUUGUAAUUUGCACGGUUAUUUCUCAAUUAUAGGAAGUUAAUAUCUAUUAAACCUUUCCUCUCCUUCCUCUCCCUGUAAAUGAGAUGGCUCGUUUCGCAUUCGAAUAUGAUUUCCAGUAUCAUUAAAUUACAUGAUGGGUGAAGUUCAUGCAGAAAAAUGGUCAAUUUCCAUUGGUGGAAAACCAGAAUGAGCUAUUUUCAGUCCUCGUAGGAUGGUCUUUGCUGUCUCCUUCUCCUGCAAAUUUGGUAUGUGAAAAGAUAUUAGAACCAAUCAAGGUAUCCCAAUAAUCUUUCUUCUCAUAUAGACCAAGAAUUAAAUUAAAGGAAGAUAUAAUAGAGCUCCAUAAAUAUUUAAGAGAGUGUAGGUCCUUCAAAUGUUUAAGAAAGUGCAGAUUUAGGAAAAAGAUCUCUCUCUUUCUAUUGAUAAGUUUCAGAAACAAAGGAUGAGAAAACAUACAGGACCAGUGUAAUCCAAGAGCCUGGUACAAUAAACUUCAGCUUCAUCAAACCGACCCACAGAUUUGUAGUGAUCAGCUAAGAAAAGAAGAGCUUCAAUCAUAUUAGGUCCCUUCCUAUCUUCUGCUUCCAUUCGCUCUAGAUCUUUCUUAUAAUAAAAUGCCGCUUGUUCAGAAUGCCCAAGUAUACUGUGCAACUUUGCUAGCUGAUGAAGUGCUAUUCCUUCCCUAUCGUUACUAUUCGCAGCCCUCAUGUAACACUUAAUAGCUUCUUCAAGCAUCUGAAGUGGAGCACUUUCAUAACAUUGAGCCAUAGCAAUCCAAAGCCGUGCAUCAUUUGGUUGUAAACAUGAUGACUUUUUAAAGUAAUAGAGUGCAUAGAAAGGCAUACCCAUCAUCUCAUAGGUUUGCCCAAGACCGUACCAGGCCCGGUAAUCCCUAGGGUUUAUAUCAACGGCCCUUCGAUAAGCAUCAAUUGCAGCUGGUGUGUUUUUCAUUUCAACAUAUUCAUGACCCAUUAGAGUCCAUGCUGAGAGGUACUUCCGGUUAAGUUUCAAAGCCCUCCUAAAAUACAAAACUGAUUUUUCAUGCAGCCCCUUCAGACUGUAGUAAUUCGCAAUGAUGCAGCAAGACUCCGGCCGAUACUUAUCCGUCAAAAAUACCCUGUGAGCUAAGAAACUUAAUGCAGAGAGGCUCUCUUUAGCAUAAAGUACAUUUGAAUAUAUAUCCAUGGAAUCAACACGAUAAGGAUCAGUUCUAAGAAGUUCUUCAAAUAUAACCUCAGCUUCAUCAAGUUCCCUCAUACUAUACUGCACUGUUGCAAUCUGAGCUUGUAUAUAGUCACUUAACCGAAAUACUCCCAUUAAAAUUUCAUAUCUUUUCAAAGCUUCAUCAUGCAUUUUAAGUUCUUGGUAUGCGCUUGCAAGAAAGAAGUCUUUCAUCCAAUGGUUUUUGAGGUUUAGAUUGUUUAAGAUAUCACUGGUGGUGCACAGAGAAAGGAGCUCAGACCAGGCAGACCAGUUCCAAGGAUAGCUGUUAACCGAGUCGACGAGGACUGAAAUAGCGAGGCUCUCAGAGCCUCUAUCUCUUAGUAUGAGGCCAUACAAAUAAAGACCGAAGGAAUCAAUAGCACCAGACCUACGAAGAGUUGAUAGCUCCCUCUCCAAAGAAACCAGUUCGCUGUUCACAGCAUUACACUUGCCCAUGGGUCCCUCCAGUUCUAUCAUCUCUUCCUCUUUCCGUUUUUCACCAGCCUAUGUUUGGAAAUAAAGAAAUUUCAUCGGUAAAACUAAGGAAUAAAUCAGCAGAAAAAUUUGCAAGCAGGUAGCGAAAUGCUUGGACAAUGUUGAUGUGCACAUAAUCAUCCAGAAUAUAAAGAGCUUCAUUUCUUUGAAACUGAGUACAGUGCCAAUGUGUCAAAAUGCUCAAACUAUGCAGCUCCUUAAGUCUAAUUGCUAGAAACCUAUCUAGUAAGGGAAAGAAAGAUUUCAAUAAGAACGGAUGCUCACCUGUGUAGACAAUGCAGAUGUGCCGACCCAACUGAUUUAUACAAAAAUGCUUGCAAUACUGCUUCAAAAUGUACUGAAUUUCAACAAUUUCUUACAAUAAGACUGCAUUCCAUUAUUCUUAUAGAUACGCUAUGUGGUUUUCCGUGAAGCAUAUUAAGACGAAAAAAAAACUCCAUCAUCAACUUCAAUCAGAAUCAACGAAAGUGCAAGCUUAUUUAGUUUCCAUUAAACUUAAUAGCUCAACCCGUUUUUCCGCCAAACUAACAAUGGAAUUUGUUUACGGUUAAUAACCUAAAACUAAAAUUAAAGAGACACCAAUCAAAAUAACAACAACAACAAUAAUAAUAAUAAAGUUGUGGUUUAUUUCAAAAUUACCAAUAGUUGAGGGAGUCUUUAUAUUUUUACCUUUCAUUUUUUAAAAUAAUUUUGCAUCAAAGUGCCGCAAUCCCCUGCUAGUCUUGAAAUCACGUUGUCAUUGCAUGUAUAUAGACUAUAGUAAGGCAAACAACCAAUUCAUUCCCAAUUAACUAGUUGUAGAAACUUCUUUCUGGAUCCCUACAUACCAGAUGCUUUUCAACAACCACAGCAGGUUUAGUAGAGGUUCUCAUAUCCAGUUAGACGACUACUCGCAACCACAUUAGCUCUAUCUUUAGAUCAAGCCGUUUCACAGAAGCAAUUCGUCGAACACCACACGGAACGUUAAAUCGAAACAACGGAGAGGAAGAUGAUUACCAUGUAGAGGGCGUAGCACCGGAGGAAGACGGCCUUCCGCCCGGCCUGGCCCCUCAGCACGUGCGCGGCGCGGCGGUACUCGCGGCAGUCGAAGUAGGACUUGGCGAGGAGGUAGGAGUCGCCGCCGCCCUCGAAUCCGCCGUCGUCGUCGGGGAUCGGCGUGCUGACGUAGGAGACGCCGCCGAGGGGGGUGGAGGUGACGUCGGCGGCGGCGCCGCCGGAGCGGAAGCGGCGGCGGAAGCUGGAUCCGUCGCGGUGGUACUGUUGGCGGUGGAGGUGGAGAGAGCGGGAGGAGGCGCCGGCGCCGGAGGAGGAGGGGGUGGCGCGGGAGGCGACGGAGGAGGCGGCGGAGGAGGGAGGGGCGUCGGGAUCGACGCUGACGAGGAGCUCCGCGGCCCUGUGGGACGAGAGAGAGAGAGAGAGAGAGAGAGAGAGAGAGAGAGAGGGGUUAGGGCUCGGGAGAGAGAUGGGGUUUACGGAUGGGGAAGGGUAGGGUAGGGGUUGGGUUGCGUACCAUUUGGCGGCGGAGUAGAGGCAGCGGUCGCCGAGGUGGCGAACGGCGGCGCGGAGCUCGUUGCGGCAGGUCUCUUUAGAACUCAUUUUCCCGGAGUGUCCGAGUUUUCUUGGGUGUGAGGGUAGUGGGACGGUCGCGGAGCUGCUCAGUUUCUAAGGAAAGAGCGCCAAGGGAAGGUUCCUGACGUAUUUCGAGUUUUUAAAAUAUUCACCCAUCCGAAGUUUCAAACUUUGAAUACUAAUAUUUAAAUAUAUAAAAUAUGAAUAAUGUGUGUGUGUGUGUGUGUGUGUGUGUGUGUGUGUGUGUGUGUUUUUUUUUUUGAACGAAGACGCCCGUACGGCCGCAGGGCGUAGGUUAUUACUAUAUGAAUAAUAGGUAAUAAAUUUGUCUAUUAACAAUCUUUUGCCUCAAAUUCUACCACAAAAUCUGGCCAGGAGUGACAUAGAGGAUUAAAAAAAAUGAAGCUUACAUUAAAAAAUUUAAAGUAUCGAUGGUAAUGCGUGUGCAACCUAGGAGUCAUCAAAUCUAUUUCCAGUGAUAAACCCAGGAAGCAAGAUAAACUUUCAAUACAGAACAAUGUACUCUAAUAUCGCACAGCCUCCUUUCAUUGAAAUAGAACACUACGCGACAUUAGACUCGCAAAACAGUUCAACGUAAACUUACCAAAUUUAUCUGACAUCAAAGUGCCGCUGAUAUCGCAUAUCAGAAUGCAAAAUUCUGAUGUCAGCAUGCCAAAAAAGAUACCCUCAUCACAAAAUCAUAUUUGCAGGAACUUCCACUGAGCUCCAGUAGAAUAUCAGCGAACUUCGUAUCUGGACCAAAUAGUCCAAGCACCUUCAAAAUUUUCAGAACACUUUUCACAUGAGUCUUGAGUCGCAUGUAAUAUUAUUUGCACAUCUAAUAAAAGAUUGCCCAUUCUAUUUCAACAUUUUCUAUUUUCUUUCCACUUCUCUUUAACAGAUGGCAACAAGACAGAUACAACAUUACAUCUUCACAUUCCUCAAAGCAGAAAAGGUGAGGAAUAGCUAUCUUACAUGCAAAUACAUGGCGAUACCCCUUAACAACAAAAACACAGCAUUAAACUACGACAUCAACUAUAUACUAUUCCCUUUCUGUAAGAGAAAAGAAAUAAUUACUCUUUCAACCAAUCAGCCCUAGGAAACUCAAUGUAGUGCUUAAUCAGCCUAAUAAGAGUAAGAAAUCCCAAGUAUCAGCAAUUCAUCCUGAUAAUUAUACUGUACAAAAGUUAGCACAAUUGGAUGCUGAUCUAAUCUGUACAAAGAACUGUUGAAAGAACUAGCUGUCUCCCACAGCCACAACUUCAUAAAUGCCUUCAGUAAAAAUGGCCCAUCUGAUUGAAUUCCAGCUGCAAAACACAAAGAUGAAACUAAUUCAGAUUCCAGAUGAAUAAAUACCAUUAAAAAAGAUAUCCAAAGACAUUCAAAACUUCAUCUAGUAUACCCAGAAUGAAGCAGAUAAGAACUAAACUUGUCUCUAUAAACUUACAUAAAUGAUCAAUCAAAUGUACAUAGGCCUUAGGCCUAGUUUGUUGCUGCACUUUCAAACACGCAAUUUUAUGCUUUGGAAAGCCCCCAAAAAAAUCCAAAAACACUUCAAAACUUCCUCUUUUAUGUUAUAAAAUUACAAUGACAACCGCCACUGGAGAAGCAUCGAGUGGCCAUUGCCACCACAAUUUAUUAGUAUGAAAUAAGGAAGAUUAGAAGCAUCUUUUGGAUUUUUUGGGACUUCCAAAGUGUAAAAUCAGGUGCUUUUGGAAAUGCAAUGCCAGACUAGGCCUUAGGAACAGUUGGAUGCUGAUUUUUCAAUCUGUACAAUUGACUGGGCAUAUUUGAUUUUGUUUGAUGUUUCAUUGCAACUAGAAGUUACAUUAUUUCUAUAGCAAGUAAUAAGAAAAUAGUGAUGAACACAACCAGCUAAGCUGGCAAAAGCAAUGAAAUCAGAAAAAGAUAAGAGUUGAACAGUGACAAUGAGAUAGGAUUAGCUAAAAGUUGUGCAUUCUCUAAGCAAAAAGAUUGUUUAUAGUCUAUUUUGAUGUUAGCACAAGUAAUCCAAUGAUCACUUAUGCUUAAAUUAUGAUUUUCUUUUGUAAUUGCAAUGUAGGAGUUUGCUUUUGGCCCAUUGCAAGACCUAGGCAGUCAUAAUUUUACAAGAUAAUACAUUCCAUCUACAAGUUAUUUAUCUUACUUUGAGAGAAUGACUAAAAGGCUAUGUAUGUUGUGUAUGGUAGACAUCUAACCAUGCUCAUCAUCCACGGGCCUUGCAUGCAUAAAAAAAAAAUACUAAACAAGAUGUUUAAGCAUUCAAACAUGCCCUUCGUAUUUAGGACUUCCUUAAUCACAUGUACCUUUGCCUUCUCAUGGGCCAUCCUCAUUCUUCGAUACUCUUGUUGUGCUCGAUAUGAACGAAACAUGGUUUGGACCCUUAUAACCGAUCUCUUCACACGUUCUUCAGCUUGCUCCCGACUGAUCCUGAAAAACUCUUCCUCUUCAGUGUUUGCAGGUUCUGUAUCCACUCUCAUCGCUUCGCUCGGUGCUUCCGUAUGAAUGCCACGUAAUCCUCUUCUCUUAAGACGCCAACGCAAGAUUGCUUUCUCAAGCACUCCAACAGACCAUAUAAUUUUGCAGUAUUGCUUCCUCACUUGAUGCCCUCGGAAUGCAGCCUGAGCAGAUAGCAUUAUUAGGAUCAAAUCAUAAAGAAAAUCAGAUAGGUAACAUGCAGCAAAAUAACGUAUGUGAUGCUAUGCAUCAAAAGAAAUAUUAGUCAUAAGAAGUUAGCAGGUAACAACAUAAUCGACGAUCCAACAGCUGUAGAUAGCAGAAAUGUCACACUAUCUUUUCCUACUUUUCUCUUUGAAGUAUUACAUAUAUAUCCUAAAAAUCAUUUAUCUGCAUGAUUAUUUCCCAGUGUAAUCCGACAUUACGUAUAUGCUCUUAAAAUAUAAAUUCCUUUAAUAUAUACCCUGAUAUUUACAAGACCUUUCUGAUACAGAACCAGCUACCCACAAAUUGGACGAAAGCCUAGACUAUGAUAGGAGUAUUUCUUUAAGAAACUACAAUUCCGAUAGUUAUAUAUGAAAAUUCAGAUUUUACAGCGGGGUAUAUGUAAAUAAAUGAUUUCCCGAGGCAUACAUGGAGACGCCCUUCUUAUUUUUUAUAUACAACAACCCUAUGAACAAUAUCCUUGUCAUUGCAUUUCAAAAGCAAUAAUUCCUUUUGACAUUUUGUGCCAUGUUGCUCCACGAGUCAGAACCUUACCUGUAUUCUGAUAACUUGCCUACGCACGUGGAGAAAGUUCUUACGCGUCUUCCAUGUUCGGAAAUGACUCUGUAUUUGUGCAGCAGCCCUCAUUAGUUUCCGUCUAUUGUGAUUGCGGAAUGCAUGCUGUAUCUUCAGAGCAGCAACUAUUUCAGAUGCUUCCAUCUCUGGUUUGGACAUCUGAACAGCCUUAGUCUGAAGCUUUAGAGACCGCUCUCUGAAUGCAGCUUGUAUACGGUCAGCUGCGUCAGCAGCAUUUCUAUAGGCUGCUAGUGACUCCUUCAAACAGAGUUCUUGCUCACUGAGAUUCUCGAUGUCUGUACUUUCAAAGUUCACUUUUUUGGUUGAGAAAGGCGCAGCAGUCGCUACAUUCCCUGACAAUGACAUGGCCUGGAAAUGUGCGGUCAAUCCUUUCUCAGCAAGGUAGGCGGCUAAGCCUUCGUACCCUUGUUUUGCUGCCAAGUCAGCAGCAGUGGAUCCACCAGGGGACUCCGGAGUAGGGUCUGUGACUAAACUUGGAUUUGCUCCAGCUGAUAAAAGUGUAGCGACCAUCCUUUCCCUGGAUUAAUAUAUUUAUGACAUGAAUCAUACCAAUAUAAAGAACUUGAAACACCUAAGAAAUUUUUAUCCACUGGAAAUUAACUUGAAUAAGCAAAUAAAUUUAGAUCUGCCAGAGCCAAACAUGCAUGAGUGCAAGCCACCGGCAUUUAAUAACAUGCUUAAAGCAUAAAACUUCACUGGUUUUAAGCAAUUAGAAGAGAACCUUCCUUUUCAUAAUAUGCUUUUGUACUAAUUGCAUCCGUAAGUUAAAAUCAUUAUGCCAAGUUCCUAGCCAGACUACAGAACACAAAGUUUCCGAUUAGAACGAAUCAACAAAGACAUCAAUGAUUACAGGAUCCUCUACAGAUGUAUCACCUAUAGAAAAUCAAAAUAUUAUAAAGAAAACGAAGUGAGACUUAAAAUUGGCUAUCAUACAUCUCAGCAUCGGCAACAUUAAAUUUUGUUUUAGGGUACUAUACCUUCCAUAAUAAGCAGCCCAAUGCAGAGCCGUCCAGCCACAUGCAUCCCGAAAAUCCAAGGAAAAUCCCGACAAAGAAAAUAGGUAAACUGCCCAAGGAUAGUCCAGGAUAGCACAAAGAUGAAUAACUCCUUGGCCUUGAAUAUCACAGGGAGUUGUUCGACGGCCUUCAGCUACUUUUUCCAAAAGCCAUUCUUGCAACUUAUUUCUCAAAACCAGCUCCAACAACUCUUCAGUAGCAGGCAUCUGAGAAUCCCUAUUGCUAUUCACUAGUUUCAGCAUAUUCAACCACUCCUUUUCCAUUAAAGAAGAGGAGAGAGAAGCAAAGUUUUUGGCUUCCUUCAAGAACUUUUGUUGUGUCCUGCCGGACAGACCAGAAACAUUGCCGCUUGUGGAAAAGAGUAAGUGAGCGAGCCUCAUUUGCAUUUGAAACUCCUUUAACUUUAGUUUCCUAUUGUCAUCUUCAGAUGAAGCCACCUCAUCCCAAACACUCAGCUUAGACCGGUAUUCGAAGGACCAAACUUGGCUGAUUGGUGUCUGACCGUCCAAGGUCAAAUAAAGAUUCACAAAGCCAGGUUCACUGGGGGCUGCAGUACAGCGGUAAACACCAGCUUGAACAAGUUCUGCAGGAACACAUUUCCUGCCAAAGCCGCAGUAGACUUGGGUUUCCAUUAGAUGUUUUUGUUGUUCAUAAAAGUAUCCAACCACUAGGACCUGCAUUAGUUAUAGUUGCAUGAAAGAACUGUGAUAGAGAUGAAAAGCAUAUUAUUAGCAACUUAAUAUUUCCAUAUAGAGCACAAUUGCAGACUUAUGAAAGUAUAUCUUAGAUUUCUACAUAAUUUAUUAGAAAAUAACUAAUAAUCAGCUUAUCCUGACCUUAUCAACAUGAAAGAGGCAUGCCUUCAUCAAGCUGCAAACCAAGGUUUGAAGUUUCUGCCUCAAUUCCAAAACCGAAAAACCAAAAUGUUUCAAACCAUUGAGUGCUAAUUUGAGACUACAGUCUGAAACCAAUCCACAUGAAAUAUCUUGAUUUAAGUCACAAUAGGGGCCUAAAGAAGGCUUAGGUUUAGAAUGUUGGUCUUAUUGGCCGGAAGCCCGGACACACUUAUAGGACGUAAUUUCAUUCAUUUUUGAAUAUUUUAUAUUGUUGUGUCAGCUUUAAUAUGUGGCAACAUCAAAGUUAGUUUUAUUACCAUUGAAAUUGUCACAUUGACUGCUGUUAGACUACUUGGACAACACACGUAUCAUAUAUUACCUUGAGAAAACAGAGGUUUUCACAAUAGAUUGCCUUAGUCUGGAUAUCCAAAUGAACCAUCACAGAAGACUAUGAAAUUCAAGCAAGUGAAAAGGCAACAAUAUAAAAGCCAGUAAGCAAACAAAGCACUACAAUGUAACUUCUUAAUUGCACACAGACAACAAAAUCAACUCGAGAAGAGAAAAAAAAAAUGCUCAGAGAAAUAUUGAGAAAGAAAGACCUUAGUUUCCUCUGUGGAAAAAAAAUGCUCAGAGAAAUAUUGAGAAAGAAAGACCUUAGUUUCCUCUGUGGAAUAUGCCCACCCAGGAGAGACAUCAGUUAUAUUGAAAAUUGGCUGUUGAUUUGAUGACUGGUCCAUCAACGUACAUGUAGCCAGUUUGUUUGCCUCUGACCUGAGUGGCUCAAGCUGCAGAUCAUCUAACAAAUUGAUAUCAUCAUUCAAGUAAUUCCAUCGUCCCAAACUGUUCUGACUUAAGAAGACAUCAUUAGUAAUAUUAUCGGGGGUUGACGUGCCAGUUAUUGCAUUUGAUGUACGGUCCUCUGUUUGAGAUUCUGAUUUUGUGGAAUUCAAUAGUUGUGACUGGCUCUCCUGAUCCUUCAUAGCUUGAAAAUAACUACCGAUUGUUUGGUCAUUCCCAGCGCCAUCAUUAUCAGUAAUGCAACUAGUAUUAUGAGGCAUGAAAAAGCUACCCUGAAGCAAACAAAAAUAGUUCUUUUAGCUGAACAGCAUACAGCGAAGAGAGUGCAGGUUGAAGACCCAAUAAGUUGUUCAUAAAAUAUCUGAUUUACUCUGGCAACAAGAGAAUAUACCUAAGAAUAAGAGCAAAAUUGUGGAGUAUAAUAAGGUAACUAAUAAAUCAAUAUGGCCACAAGCUACAGACAUGAAACAAUACAGGUCAGGAGAAGGCAUAUAUAGAUAUGCAAAUGCACAAAUCUUUUGCUUCACAGUUGAUCUAUAUACAUAUAUGAAUCUUGAGUCUGGAAAGGACACAUGGCAACUCCUCAAUCCCUCUACUCUUUCCUAUUCUCAAAUAAAAAAUUAUUGCAUGCACCAUUUCUAUAAAUAUAUCACAUGAACCAAUCUAAUUUUUUAAUAAUAAAUAUAAAUAUAGUACAAUUAAGCCACAAACUAAUAAAAUCUUGCCACAUGCCUCAUAAAAAUUUUAGAACCAAUCUAAUUUUUUAAUAAUAACUAUAGUACAAUUAAGGCAUAAACUAAUAAAAGCUUGCCACAUGUCUAAUAAAAAUUUUAGACGCACCCAUUGCGGCGCCAUAAACCAACUCUAAUAUAUGCAUCAUAUAUAAAUUUUUAUAGUACAAUAAAUCUAUAUCUAUACUCUAUAUUAAAGGGGAGUUUCAUCAUAUCAUGGGGUCUAGAGGCGAUACGUGUCCUUCCCAUUCUCCCAUAUUUACUUAUAAAGAUAACUUAUACGAUGAAGAACAACCUGCUUCAAAAAAACAUCUUACAUUAUUCAUGGACUUCGCCAACUCAUUUUGAAUUUGUUGAUCAGAUAUGAAAAAAUCACCUGUCACAUGGCAACCAUGGUUAUAUUCUCUCAUAACAAGUUAAUCAACAGUAAGGACUGGAAGCCAUACCAUCUCGAUGCUGAGUAGAAUCAUUAUUUGUAGGUGAUUCCAACAAAUCGUCCCAAUCCAAUGUGUUGAUUUCAUGAAGACUGAACUCAUGGCUCUGAAGUUCUGCAAGAUCAAAAGAGAUAACGGAAACCACAACAUAAGUUAACCUGGGAGCUCGUUGCAAAAACUUUAAGACAACAAUUAAUGAUACUAUGGAACAGUGUUUUCAUCAAAAAGUUUCCUGCAAAAAAAUGUAGAUAAUAACAUAUUCGUUCCAGAGAGAGAGAGAGAGCACUAUGGAACAACGUUUUCAUUAAACAAACAAGUACAUAAUUGCAUAUUGUCCCAGAGAGAGAGAGAGAGAGCAACCGUGGAGCAACAAAUACACGAUUGCUAAGUGAACUAAAUUAUCAAAUGAAAACUAUGAGGUACUACAAUUAAGAAAGAAAAAGAAAUAAUGGAAACUUUUUCAAGGAGAAACAAAUUUAUGUCUCACCAGCCUGUACUGUGUUAUCCUCUCCUGAGUUAAUUUCUUCUGAGGUACCUGCAGAUCCAGACACAACUGAAUGUGCAGAAGCAGAAUUUGAUUCGAUUGGGGUUGAUGGAGAAUCAUGAUGAAUCUUGCUGAUCAAAGAAAGAUUCUCUGUACAAUCAACCGGUGCAGGUAAAUACUGAGAUGCAUGAUCCUGAAAAACCAUCAAACGUUAAAAUGACAUAGGCAAUCCACACAACAAGCCUAAUUCAACUAGAGGCUAAAACAUCACACUUUCAACGAAACAAAAUAUAAGAUAAAUUUCGGCUUUAGAGAUUCACUCAUUCCCCCAAACUUAAACAAGAGGCAACAGUCGUAACAGAAAGGAGAUGCUCUUUAAUGACUGUCUCAAAUCAUAACUUGCUCAACCCUGUUCAAGUUCACAUUUGAUACCAUAAUUACUAGCUCCUUUCAUUCUCUUCCAUGUCUUAAUAACAAGUAAGCAGCAGCAAACAUUGUCUGACUAUAUCACCUUGAAACCCUAAAAAUGUCUUCAGUCUUUAGUCUACCUGUUUAGUUUCAAAGAAAUCAAUCUCCUGAGAACUGUCCAAUUAAGGUCCCUCUUUUCUAUUCAACUUGUUUGGAAGUAUCAAAUCAUUUGUCAUAUUAUUUUAUUGUCUUAAUUUCCUUCUCUUCAGACUAAGCACCAAGAUGCAGUCACAAAUUUCGCCUAUUUUAUCGGACGUCAAUCAAAUAAAAGACCUAGUCUUAAGGAGGAAAACACCAAAACCAAAUCAUUCGUUACUCUAAUUUAAUAAGCUUUCCCUGCUUCAUUACUCUCCAAAGCUGCAAUGGCCAUGCACACUGCAAACCUCUCUCUACCUUUUCCUAGAUGCCCAUUAAAUAUCCAUUUGUAAAGAACUCCGAAUGAGAAUCCACUUGUGUACUUUCAAUUUUAUUUCAUGUGCUUUAGCUAUGUAUAUCACCUCUUCUACCAGCCAUACUUAUAGAUAAGAUCCUAUUGCCUUCACAUCUACAAAAACACUAGUCAUCUCUAAAAUCUGUAUGUGCAAUAAUUCCUAUACAGCUCUUAAAUAUUUUACAAAUAGUGUGAUGUAUAUUCUCUCCAUCAUCUGUUUACUUGCCUACCCACCUAGUUUCUCAUAUAAACACACAAUGACACUUUUGUAUAAUCACCAUAGCUACUUCACUAACGAGCACAUCUGAGAAGCUGCAUUCAAAUUUUACUUCAGGUCUCAUGGACAAACUUCGCUAUCCAUUAGGUAAAACAGCAUCUAUCUAGUAGAGCAAAACUCAUGCAGUUGGUUAAUUGUAGUCUAUACAAGUAAAUGCCUGGUAUAAAAAAUAUUGUAAAUCAUCAAAAAGGAAACAGAGAAAAGAACCUCAGAUGUCUGCCGAUAAUGCACAAGAACUAUGCGCUCCAACAUCCUGAAUAAACAACAUUAACAAAAAUAUCUCAGCUUGCAAUGUCGAAUAAUAAAUACAGAUCGUGCAAAGGAAAAAGGACGUUAAAACUCUGGACAGCUAAUCACCAACUACCAAAAAGGUGAGAAAAAGAAAAUAGGAUGCAACAUUAGCGAGGCAUCUCGGUAAAAAGGAAUGGUGGUAGAACAAUGCCUGUUUAUCACAAUUAUGUUGCCAAUAAAAGUAGUGUUUCUGACAGAGUUCGGAGAACACUCAUGCGCAUGAGCCCAAUGAAUUGAUAUAGCCUGAAAAGUUAAGCUGCUCUAAAUAACAGCAAGGCCUCUUUAACCGUGACAGGUAAAACCCAAUGAAGGCCUAAAUUUUCUGGUGAGCCAAACCAAAAUGAAAAAAAAUCAAGGACAAGUUCAAGUCCUCAUUUUGUAGCUUCAAAGGAGUUUGGAUAACAUUGUUUUAAGGUCCUCUAGCCAACAUCAAUGAAGGAUUCAUAUUUCUUGAGUGAGGCCACUUGGGUUGGUUAAGUCAGCUAUUCAGCUUGACCUAUUGACACCAAACGGACAUGCGUUCUAAAAUGAAAUAUGCACCUCAGCUUGCAGAAAAACCGAUAAUGUACCUUCUUAUGACCUAGCUAAGGCCAUCGAGAAUAAGAUUGGUGUGGAGCAUAAACAAGUAACAUAACUAGAUACAGCAGUAUCUUCUUAACUUUCUUUUCGAUAGUGUUAUCAUCUUAGCUAUUAUACUAUGAUUUGCCUGCUAGGAAUUUCUACACUUCUUUAUUCAAUCGCAAGAUGACAUUCUGCCAAAUUAGGCCCUCAACUAGUCUUAUCUGUUAUUUCUUCUUCCUGACUCUCAUGACUUUCUUUUUCUGGGACACAUCUGAAAUAUGUCAUUGGUAGACUAUUAAAUAUUUCACAAUCUCUUUGGCACCCAAAAUUGCCAAGUUCUAUUACUUGCAACUGCUAUGACAUGCGUUCAGAUGGGACUAAUAUGCCAAUUUGUAUCAACGGAUGACGCAGGCCAUUUCAGAUACCAAGAAUUCUCAUUUUAUACACUUUCCCUGCCCAAUUAUAGAAAUGUUUCACCCUUCUGAGUUCACAUUAAGUCUAAAUAGCUAAAAAUCUUUACUUUAUGCCUAAUAUAUGUCAUUUAGACAAAAUCUUUUUUACUGCGCGAUGAAUAACAGCAUGUAAUAAUUUCCCUAGCUCAAAUAAAGCCACAACUAGGUCCUUAUCGCAGUAAUUGAAAGAAGUUAUAUUAUAAAAUAUAGAACAUCCCAAAGAUUGUAAACACAUCUUAUAAAAAGAGGCAUGAGGGAGAAACUUACUUAUCAAGAAGCCAGUAACUCCUACGGUAAAAAUUAGGAUCGUCCUCACAUCGUGCAUAAUAAACAUGGAUUCUUUCAACAUUUCCAAUCUAUAACAUAAGAAACAUGAAUUAUAAAUGCCAUGUUACAUAAGUAACAUGAAUUAUAAAUGCCAUUUCUCUUGGACAAUAUAUUUUGCACACAAAAGACAAAUGACGAAGGCAACAAAUUCGACAACAGCAAAACCAAAUUUAAACAAAAGAGAUAGGCUAGUCAGUUCAAAACAAUAGCACACCAUUCUCAAUAUGGCAAACAAUUAGUGAACAAGAUGAACUUAUGCAGCCAAGAAUUCCAGUUAGAUAAGAAAUUCAAAGAUCCAUUUAGCGUUGUAAUGCCUGAGCAGAAAGUCAAAUGAUCUUAAAUUUCAGACUAUUUAUUUCCUGAGAUAAUUAUCAAAAUAACAUUGGGUACCAAACUACCAAACAGUGAUAUAAAAAGUUCAGGAUGGAAGCUGAAUUUGAUAACAGCAACACAACAUACUACUUGUGAGAGCACAAAUAGUGAUAUCCAACAAUGAGUACAAGGUAAUUUCAGCAGGUCAAAAGUGUCCAAUGUCCUUAAGACUAGUAAGCAUCAUAUAUUUGCUACAUUGCAUCACCAGCACAUGACAAAUUCAUCUAUCAAUUCUGAUGCCUUUAUACAUAUUUUCACUUCUCAUAAUAUUAGUGGGAAUUGCAACUAAUAGAAAUGAUCGCUCAUUUGAUUCUUUGUGGUCAAGUUUGUUUUGUCCCUUUUAUAGUUGCAAAUACUACAAAAUAAUAAAGUUAGUCCUUACAGUUUGUCUAUCCUGUAAUAUUUAUAGGUUUAUAGAUUUCAUUCACAAAACUCAGAAAAUAAACCUUAGCCUUCUUUUCAUAUGUCAACACCAUCUGUAAACAACAAUGACCAAGGUGAACUUUUUUCAACCUUAAUAUCAUUAUGAUUCAAAAAUAAUAAUUCUACCAAGCAGCAGUUCACCACCUCUAUGCAAAAAAUAGUAAUAACAAAAACAGCAACAGCAACAACAACAACAACAACAAUAAUAAUACUAACAAGAACAAUAAUAAUACUAACAACAACAACAACAAUAAUAAUAAUACUAACAACAACAACAACAAUAAAUAUAUUCUUAAGAAUGAGAGCAGACAAAAGGCUAAAUUGCCAUAAAGUAUACUUUAUUGUAUCUCUAUAAAGUGCAUUUUCAUUUGCAGUUAAUUUCACACAUAAAGCAAUUGGAUUUUUUAUGUAUUGGGCAGUCAGGUUAUACAUACAUAAAGAGAGAUAUAGGAAAAAUGUUGAAGAACAAAAAUAACAGAAAACAAGCAUAGGUAAACAUGCAUUAGCAUUCCAAAAACACAAGGGACACAAUAUAUGAAUUGAUAUUAUACGAUUUUAAUUUGCACGCGGUCUAACUUUUAACUUUUCAUGGGCUUCUUGGACAGUCUUCCCAUCCUUUUUCUUCUUCCAGUUAUGCCCAUCUUUACGGAAGUUCCUCAGCAUUUUCCGAUCAAAUAAAAGAACCGUACCACCUAAUUUACAAGAGGUGAUCAAUUUUUUUUAAAAAAAAAGCAGAAAUAGUAUAGGGUUGGAUAUUGUAAUAACAACAGAAUCAGAUGCGAUAUAGUACGCUAACAGCCAAAAGUAGCAACAUCUCAACUAAGAUACACGAAAUGGCUAACCAAAUCCUAUAAUGUUUAAAAUGCUUUACAUGUAAGCUAGCUUACAAUGUUACAAUUCCAAACAGUAAAACUGCUAAGACACCAUGCUGUGCAAAUUACUAUAUUCCAGCAAAACUGAAUCAAAUAGCUAUAUCUAUUGUCUGAUUUGUUUCAUACUAGUAAUUAACAAUCCACAGAACGAUUAGAUAGCAAUAAGAAAAAUCGUCAUUCUAAAUUGAUUGAGAUGCAUAGUAGAACAGUUUUCUCACUGUUAAUCACAUGUAAUUUAAACAUAUGCUCCCUAUGGCAGUAGGCUAGAAAUGUCAACAUCUAAAAUUUUACUUGAAACCAUCCAUUGCUGAUAGAACGUAGUGUAGACUUUUGAACAAUAUAUUUCAGGGGAAUACUCUAAAUCAAAAGAAAACAAAUAAUAAGACUGGAAAUGUUUUGGGUGUCCGAGAAAUAGGAAAUAACAGCACGAAAAUUAAGUGUCUUUGAGUUACUAAUGUCGAUGUGGAUAGAAAAUUUUUCAUAUUCAAUGUUUCAGACAAUUAACCACCCUCAACAUAGGUUCACUGCAGCACAUCUUCACUCUUUUCUUAUGACAUUGACAAGUCACAACAGGCAGUUGAAGCACUCUCACAAUUAACAACUACAAUCACCAACAAAAGUAGAAAGCAAUGUAUGACUAAUAAUAUUAACUGCCUGGCACGAAAUGGUAUUGGGAGGCUCAUAAUAUAACUAAUAAGUAUAUUUUUCCUUCAGAAUUCAUAAAUUAAGAUAACGAUAACGAUAACAAUAACAUGAAUUUUACAGGAUGAUUAAGAAAAUUAAAUGGCUCAUGCUGUUGUCCUAAGAGGCUUUGAGGUACAAUUCUGCUAUUGUUUCUUGCACACUACCAGCAUGUUUAAGCAUUUUCACACAUUGAUAUAGCACAAGGGUAAAAGCCAAGUAUAAGUCAAAUCGCACUGACCAAGAAUGAAAGAAAAGUGACUUUCGAACCAUAUGGAUGUACCAAAAGAAUAAGCACAAAUAUUUUAUUCUACAUGCUUUAAUAUUCAGAUGGUAAGACAAGUUCAUACUUUGUGGCUUGUCGACUGGUUGGGGUUGGAUUUUAAAACGUGCAUAGUUAGAUAAUAUUGCAUGAACUUCAUUAGGACGAAACCACCUAUUUGGGGCAUCUUCCAUCAACUUCUCUACAUCCAGAUCUGUUCAUAAAGCCAAAAUAUCAGAGAUUAAAAAGGGAGUUUUGCUGAAAAAAUGAUGGAAUGUGUAAUUCAUCAGAGUCUUGAUUAAAUAUGGUAGUAAUGAGAAUAACAAAGCAAUGGUAAAACAUAAUCAUAAAAGAGAUAUUGAUAAAGAAGUUUCUACAGGAAAAUAUAUUCUAAAAAUUCAACAAAAUUUUUUUAGUCUAAUAGAUAAAGUUGAUGAAGAGAAGACUGAAUACCCAGUUUAUCGAAAAUUCAUUGUUCAGAUACUCUUGUUAUUUGAUGAACUGAUUAUAAUUUCUAACUUAAAAUAAGUGAUAAGCAAAGUCUUGACCAUUACAUGUCCUUGAAAAUCACCUUAACCAAGAGGGAAGUCUCUUAGCAAUACAAAAUCUAUGCAAACUUUAAUUAAUUGUUGUGUUGUUCUCGAAGCACUAUGAUUAAUAACAGCGUGGUCUAACUUUAAGAACAAGAUUAUCUCCUCAGAGUAACUUACAAUCCCACAAUUACAACAAUGACAAGAUCAGUCCAGCAACAAAAGCAAUAUGUUCAAGAAGAACAAAAGAUACCGAAGAGAGAAGGCAACUACACAAGCAAGACAUUAAAGAAGAGAACAAUAAAAUUUACAAAUGAACCUCAAACCCUAAUAUGAAAAGAUAGCAUUGCCAAAUGAAACCCUAAAUAGCAAAUCGAUUGAACAAAACUAAAAAAUCAAGUAUGUGUCUGAUGCGGUGCGAAAGCCGUGGAUGAGAGUGUCACCGAGGAGAUAUUUUUCAUGGCAAUGAAGCAAGAGCUCUGAGAUGCCCAAGAACGGGGAAAGUGAUUCAAAAGGGGAGUCGCGUAGUACUUGGAAACUGUACCAACUUUAGUUGAUUUUUAUAGCUAUUCUUGAAGACCUAAGAAAGUACUAUAAGGCUAUAACAGCAUGGUCUACCAUCAAGAACUACUCGAAAUCACUCGCAAUCCAACAUUUACAGCAAUAGCAACAUCAACGUCCACUCAGCAAAAGCAACAGGUUAAACAAAAACAGCAGGUAUCAAAGAACGAAGGCGACGACACGAACAACACAAAUUACGAUCAAGCUUUCAAACCCUAAAAGGAAAAGAGAGAAUCGGCGAAUGAAACCCUAGCCCCCAAAUCGAAUCGAACGAAGUCACAAACAAAGACCGUACCUGAUGCGGUGUGAAAGCCGUGGAUCUCCCCGUCGAGGAGGAGGCCCCCUUCCAUGGCGGCGAAGGGAGAGCUCGGCGAAACCCUAGCCGACGAAGUGAUCGAAAAGAGAAAGGGCAAAUACGAUCGACCUCUGAGUUUGGUAUCAGACGAGAGAGAAAAAGAGAGAGGGAGAGCCGGUAAAAAUGGCGAGGGGGCCAAAAGAGCAUGGACUGUUAUUCUCCGCCGCGGAGUAAGAUACACUGGAUAUCUGUGUACUGAUCGAGGAAUUUUGACCGUUAGCUGGAGAUUCGACGGUUCUAGUUUUGGAGUGUCAAGCGAAAGGGUGUGCAACAUUUGCUUGUUAUUCGCCUGCUUGCGGAGGGUUCACGGAUGGAUUCCACGUGGCAUUGGUAAUUGGGUUAUCAGCGCGGGGGCGGGGCAGAUAUUAUCAAAAUAGUUUUUUUAUCAUUAUUGAUAGUGUAAAAUUAUACAUAUACAAAAAAAAAAAAAUACAGAAAAAAAAUAAAAAAUAAAAUAAAAAAAGACGUAGGAAAGAAGAAUGGCAAAAUAUGCCAGAAAUAAUAAAAUAAAGAAAAUGAAUGAUAAUGACAAUAUCAGUUUAUAGAAAAAAAAUAUUUGGUGGAUAAUAAAAAUUAUUAAUUAACUGAAUUAGACAAUUAUAUUUAACAUGAUAUAGAAAAUUAAAAGAUCACUUAUAAAAUUAUAACAACAAAAACUACUUAAAUAAAAUGUUUAUAAUAAUAUCCCACUAAACUAAAGGAAAGAAAAUUAAAUUGUAGAAGGUUAAAUUAUAGGAGGCAGAUGAGGGGACAAAUUUACUAUUAAAAAAUAAAAAAAUAAAAAAAUUUGAGGUCUUACCACAUCGGCUAUAGUAUUAAGGAUUAAUAUAUAGUUAAUUAAUAGAUAUAGAAAGUUGAAAGGCUAUUUACAAAAUUAUAACAACAAAAACGGUUUAGAUACUGACCGUUUCUACAGCAAGUGGCAAAGGGCUUGGUGGUUGAUACCCGAGACCCGAGUUCGAAUCCUAGUUGAUUCACAUUUCCAGCUAAGCUUAUUUCUAAAUGAGAUAAAACGAAGCAGAUAGCGUGCUACCUAUCUCUCUCAAGAAAAAAGAAAAGAAAAAAAAAAACAACGUUUUAGAUAAAACGUUCAUAACAAUAUCUUACUAAACUAAAAGAAAGAAAAUUAAACUAUAGGAGGUUAAAUUAUAAGGGAUAGAGGAGGGGAACAAAUUUACUAUUAAAAAAAUUAAAAAAAUAAAAAAUUAAGAUUUUGCCACAUCAGCAAUAGUAUUGGAGAUUAAUAUAUAGUUAAAAUUUAAUAGAUUAGAUUAGACAAGGUCGAUGUGCAAUUUGUAAAAAUAAUCAUUAAUCCCAGCAAAUCGCGACCUGCCACGUGUCUUAAUAGUAGAUUUUGCACCAAUGAUCACUGUUGAGAAUCCUCUAAUUGAGAAUGUUUGUGGAUGAGACAGUAGAAAUAAAUAAAUUGUUAUUGUCGUUUACUAAUCCGAUAUUCCAAAGCAUGUUUUCGCUUACUUUUUAGUCCCUUGGAAUUAUACCCAAGCAAAUAACGCCUGAUAUAUACGGCUCAACCGAUCUGGUUCUUCGUUUGGGUGAUCAAAUUGAGCCAUUUUCAAUUUUGUAGGUUACACCUUAAUAGAAUCUAAAAUACACCUGCACGAAAACUACGUGCUUGGUUCUUAUUUUUUUAUUUGAUUUCGCUUUACGUUGAGAUUUUAUUACUUGACUUAAUUUAACAUAGCCAAGCCUAGUUUUGGGACUAAGCUUGAGCUUAAAAGGGUUCAGCAAUUUGCUUAUAAUUUGUUUUGAGCAAAAAUAUUUUUGGAACGAAUGAAUCUCACUCCUCAAACAAACAAAUUCUUCUGAGCUCUCUUCUCUCCUUUUUAAAACAAGUAGUACGCUUGCCCCAAUAGUAAAAUUUCUUUCUGAUUUUAUCAUGAGUUGAUAGUUUGAAUUUUGUCCGUCCUAAGAUUCCUAAUGCCACUAAAUCUUACGUAUAUCUCUACCAUCUACAAGAUUAUUUGUCGUACCUUUAAAAGUACAUUUUAUUUGGGACUUAUUUUGUCCGGUUGAGGUUUCUCCAUAAGCAUACAAAAGUCGUACCAUUUAAAAGUUAAUUAUGACAAAGCAUAUCAACAAAUUGUCCAUUCUUUACAUGACUUUACAGAUGCUAUGCGACACCACAAAUUUGGUAUUAUGGAUUUCUAGUCCUUAUUUCCAUAAUCUAUUUUGGUUCUUUCUAAAUAUUUUUCCAAUAAGAUCAAUGUUUUAAUCAAUAAAAAUAGUAUUAAAACGUUUUGCACGAGUGAUCAAUUUGGGGAGGGAUGGAUCAUUUCACGUACAGUAGAGUCAUGUUAUCUUUUUGCUGAGGAAAAGAAGUAUAAAUUGAUUUCCCUCGCCACCGCAAAUGACCAUAGUUGGGUACUAUUUUUGUCAAAUGGAUCUGUCAUUAUUUACAUUUAAUUUUAUACCCCACAACAUGUGAUGCCAAAUCUCUAUCAUUGAAAAUUUACUUACUACAGUAAAAUUAGAUCUCUGUAUGAUUGCGUUAUAAGUUUACAUUAGGAUAAGAACCAUAAGAAAAUGGUAGUGCAAAUUUUUACUAUAGUAAUUGAUUGACACCCUUUUUGAACUAAAAGAAAUUAUGAUUCACAAGUCCCUUAUAUGUGAACACAUCCUUUUUAGUUGUUAUGAAUAAUAUAAACAUGUAUGAUUAGGGAUAAACAAAGAAGGUAACAAACUUUAGUCCAAUUACGGUUUACUUCAACAACACAUUUCCAUCCUUAAUUCACUGUGAUUGAAAAACACUUGUGAAUUUAUUUAAUUAUAUCUUUAUUUGGCACGAAUUAAGCACAGUUGAGUCCUCUUUCAUAAAUAUAGAACAUAAUUUUAAAGAAUUAGUGGUUUCUAUAUAUUCACUUAAAUAUAAUAAAUACCAUUCAUUUUCCCAAUUGGAAAGGAUCAGAGGAGGAAAGGGCCAUGCCCUUGAACCCCCCAUGAAUUUGCUCUCGUGAGUUAUGGUUGUGUCCCUAAACUUAGCAAAACACUCUUGAAACAUAUUGUAAAAGUUAAUUAAUUUUUUGUGUAUAAAAACUAUCAUCGUUAUCAUUAUAUGAACAAAAGAAUGAAAGAAAAAUAAUACUAAAAAUAAUGUCCCUAUUUAAUGUCAAAUCAGUUGUACAAUUUUGCGACUGUUUUUGUGCUAUAUGUUGAUUGUCCUAUUCCUCCUUUCUUGAAAUUUCAAUUAAUGGUGGGGACUUAGAAAGGACAUGAGUUGGGUAAAGAAUUUAGGUUCCCGCAAAUUAUUUUUUAUAAAUUAUUAAUAUAUACAUGCACGAUAAGCUAAUGCUACAGAAGAUACAUAAUUUAUAAUAUAAUAUAUUAACUUACUAAUAAUUUCAAAAAUAAUAUUUUUUAGGGUUCAUAAUUAUACUUAAAUUGUAUGAAAUUUUAAAUUUUAACUUUUAAAUUUAAUAUAUAUAUAUAUAUAUAUAUAUAUAUAUAAUUGAGCUAGAAUACUUUUACAAGUAUUACCCCCAUGAUGCUAUUAGGUUUUUAGCCAUUGGAUCUAUUCCUUGAUUACUAAUAGCCAUUGGAUCAAACACUAUUCCACCUGCCACCACCUACCAUCACCUACCACCAUUAUCCUCCAACCUCACAUCUCUCCAUCCAAUGGCUAAAAACUCAAAGCACCACUCAUAUAAUACUUUACAAAUAUUCUAACUCAACUAUAUAUAUAAUAUAUAUAAUAUAUAUAUAUAUAUAUAUAUAUAUAUAUAAUUAUAUGUGGCUGGUAUGCCUAUGGAAGCGUGCUUCAGUUGUUUUUGAUGUUCGGACUUUCGAAUCGACGAUCGGCUCCGAUGGAGUUGAUCUAGAGUAUUUGAAGUAUCUAGAAAAAAAAUUUUUGAUUUUUCGAUAUCAUUUGCCUAGUGAUCGAAGAGCUCAAAAUUAAUAAUUUUAAUGGCCGUGGUGAGCCGGUUGCAGGUUUAACGGUGUAGAAAUAUCCAAAUCACAUGAAUUUUGAUAGAAUUUUUUAUACCAUAUAAAACAGAUCAAUAACUUUGAUCUAAAAUUUUAAUGUCAUAUCAUCAUAUUUUAUAAGAUUUUAUUUUCAGCCGUUGAUUUUGAGCACUCCGAUCACUAGGCAAAUGAUAUCGAAAAAUCGCCAAAUUUAUUUUCUAGAUAUUUCAAAUACUCUAGAUCAAGUCUAACGGAGCCCGAUCGUCCGAUUCGAAAAUCCGAACAACGAAAACAAAGUGAAAGCACGGAACCCUCCGUGCUUCCAUAAGCAUCCUAGCCGCACUAUAAUAUUAAUAUAUAUAUAUAUAUAUAGAUGUGAGGCUACUAUUGCUAUCGGAAGCCACGGAGCCUUCCGUGCUUCCAGCCUCGUUUUCGAUGUUGCGACUUUCGAAACGUCGAUCGGCUUCCGUUAAAUUUGAUCUAGAAGUAUUUGGAGUAUCUAGAAAAUAAAUUUUAUUGUUUUCGAUAUUAUUUGCCUAUGGAUCGAAUGACGCUCAAAUCAACAAAUUUCAAUGGCCGCAGUGGAGCCGUUUGCAAGUUUAACGGUGUAGAAAUAUCAAAUCAAAGUGAAAUUUUGAUAGAAAUUCUUUAUACUAUUAAAAACAAGAUCAAUAUCUUUGAUUUAAAAUUUUAAUGUCAUAUUAUUACAUUUUGUAAUAUUUUUAUUUUCAGCCGUUGAUUUUGAGUCUUUCGUUUACUAGGCAAAUGAUAUCGAAAAAUAAUAAAAUUUAUUUUCUAGGUACUCCAAAUACUCUAGAUCAAGUUUAACGGAGCCGAUCGACGAUUCGAAAGUCGCAACAUCGAAAACGAGCUGGAAGCACGGAAGGCUCCGUGCUUCCGAUAGCAUAGUAGUCUCACUCUAUAUAUAUAUAUAUAUAUAUAUAUAUAUAUAUUUGAGCUGUAAUACUAUCGGUAACAAACUGACUCUAUUGCCACCCAUUUGUUUUCGAUGAUGGAGCCUCCAAAUCGACGAUCGGUACCGUUGAAAAUGAUCUACAUUUCAAGUAUAUAAAAAUCAAAUUUCAUUAAUCCUUAAAAAAUUAAUAUUAUAUAAAUACUAUAUUAUUAUAUAAAUUAAUAAUAUACCAACUAUCAAAUAUUAUACCACCUAUCAAAUAUUAUAUACCAACUAUCAAAUAUUAUACUGUUGAAAAUAAUUUAUACCAACUAUUAAAUAUUAUAUUAUUAUAUAAAUUAAUUCUUAAAAAAUUGUUUGAAAACUAAAGUGAAAAACAUACAAAGUUUAGAGAUUAGGGACUAAAAUAAAAAAGUGUGAAAAUAUUGGAGCCCAAUGUGCAAUUAAUUUUUUUAAAAAUUAAUGUGGGUCCCACAUCAUCCCAAAAUAAGUGAAAAGACCAAUUUUAUUUUUGUGUUUAAUUAUAAGCAUGUUUUUAUUGAUCUAUGCAAAAUUAUAACUUUAUAACUUGACCAUAAAAAAUUAUUUGCAUGUUGGGCACAGAUAUAAUUAACUAGUAGUAAAAACGAUUGGGCUACAAUAAAUUAAACUUGACCCAAGUUUGAUCUGGGCCGGGUUUCAGGCCAAUAGCUGGGUUGGGCCGAGUUUAAAACUUUUGGUUCGGUUCGAUUAUCGAUCUGUGCUGUUUUAUCGAGCUUGUUUUAUGAAAAACAAAAGACAAAAAUAUAUUCACCUAAUCUGAACUUUAGAUCAUUUGAAAAUAAUGUAUGAAACUAACACAAGAUCGAGCUUAUUAUCAAUCUGGUAUAUUGCAGAUGCGUCCAGUGCAUUUGUACAUUCGUACAUUCGUACAUUGCACCUACAUCAUAAUAAAAUCUUAUUUCAGUAUCCGCCACAAUAAAAGCUUCAAAUGUUUUUAUCUGCUGUGACGCAUGCUUCAAUCAUUCGAAAUAGAGAAGCUGCGUAAAAGCUAGGCUGAAUUAUUACCAAUGUUUUAAAUAUUUGCAAUGUAAUUACUUAGUAGGUAAUUUUUUGGGAAAACUUCAAAAACCCCCCCUGUGGUUUCGUGCAUUCUCACUUUGCUACCCUGUGGUUUAAAACGUAUCAAUUUACCCCCCUGUGGUUUCAUUUUUAUCUUUUCGGAAGCUUUUUCGUUAAUAUUUCGUUAAAUUAUAUACAAAAAACUUCAGAUAACCAUCUAUAUUUAUCGAAUAGUCACUUUAGUAUCCUUUAAUUUUAACUUUGUCACUGAUUUAAAAAAUAAUAAUAAUAAAAUUGAUAACAAAAAGAUAAAAACGAAACCACAGGAGGGCAAAUUGAUACGUUUUAAACCACAGGGUAGCAAAGUGAAAAUGCACGAAACCACAGGGGGGGUUUUUGAAGUUUUCCCUAAUUUUUUUGGGCUCCUUGUGAAGGGCUACUACUAUCUCCCUUGGGCAAUGCUUGCUUUAGAACUGAUCUUCAACAAAUCCUUUACCCUCUCUCUGGAAAGAAGAACAUAGUACUGAAGACUCCUUUUUGGGUGUAUCCUCCCUUUUGCGUUAUUUAGUUGCACAUUUAAUUGCCAUUUUUUUUUUGAAAAAUCUAGUACAUUUUUUUUAAAAAAAAUAAAAAAUAAAAAUAACUUCGUUGAAUAUUAAUUAUGUCGUAAUUGGUAUUCGGGCUCGAAUCUGAAUUAGAAAAGGAAUUCAGAAUGGGUCGGAAUAAAAAUGGAAAUAACUAGCUAAUUGGUAUAACAUUUUCUCUGACCAAACAGAUCGCAAUUAUAAUUUUGAUUUUCAUUCCAAGAGCAAAAGCUUUUGCCAUUAUACAAGCCUUUAUUUCCAUUAAUCAUCUGUGAAUUACUGAAUCCAAUAUAAUUUUAUUUUAUUUUAUUUUUGUCCUCCUUAAUUUAUUGGUUUUUAAGAUCCAAACUUGUUGCAUUUUAGGGAGGGGCAGCUUAAAUCAACAGACCAAUAAAGCCGAUCGAACCAACACGCUGGUGUAGCACUUCGUGGACGAAGUUACCGAUUAAAUCAAUUAAAGUUUGUGAUUUGGCGUAAAAGAAGCUUAAUAGAUGAUAAUCACAAUAGUUCACUAUGGUAGUUUUUAAAAAAAUAAAAAUAAUGUUGAAUUUUACUUAUAAUAGAUUUAUCAUGCACAAAAUUAAAUUAAAUACACGCAUGUUGGUACGAUUUCAGUAGCUGAUUCUACACUAAUGGCCAGAUUUAAAGACAUCAGUUUUUAUUUUAUUUUGCUUCCGUAAUACGCAUUUUACUCUCUUUAUAUAUUCAUAUAUGAGGUUGUUGUUUUUUUUAUUAUUAAUUUUCUAUUGCCUGGGAUGGGACAUGCAUUAAAAAGCAUGUUGAAUUGGAAUAAAAUUUCAGUGGGGAGCUUUCCAACGACGUCAAUACUCUACCGCAUGUUAGCUUUUUCUCCGUCGAAUAAUUUGUUAGAUGUUUUUUAAUACUAAAAUACAAAGAAAAAGAUUAAAAUACCUGAAUACAAAUAAACGUGAUAUGUGGCAACAGAUCGGUGCUUCCUAAUAAGGCAUCGCUGGAGAGCUCCCUAUUGAAGUUUUUUCAUUAAAUUGAACAUAUAAUAACUAUAUACGGUAAGUUGCACGUUUAAUUUUUGACUCAAACUUUUAGAAUUAUUAUAAUAAGGUUUCAUAAUUUAAUUUAGAUGACUAAAUUUUAACUCAUUAUUAAUAUAAAAGUGAUAUGACGUUGUAAAUAUUGUCAUAUCAUCGAUCAAAACACUAUCACAUCACCUAAGUGAUAUAUCAAUAUUUGGUCGACUAAAUUGGGUUAUAGGACUUGAUUGUCCUAAUCAUAGUAAUUUUCCUACCUUUAAUUUAAUCGCAUUUUAAAUGAAAGAAAAAUCAAAACAGUGAUCGUAUUGGGACAACAACUUUUUAUUUGAAAUUGAAUUACACGGGUGAUAAACCAAGAUUAAUCAGGCUAUGAUUAUAAGCUGAGUUCCAGGGGACAUUAAAAAAAAGAGAUCUUCUCGAUUCCAGUAAUAUAUAACAUAUAGAGUAAAUUAUAUGCUAAUCAAUUAUUACCACAAUAUUUUGCAGUUUUAUCGAUUAUUCAUUUUUCUCUAUCUUAUCUUGCUAAUUAAUAUGCUCUUAUAUGAUUAGCAUGUGCUGCAUCUGCAGUUAUAUGCUAGAGAAUAAUUCUGCAGAUUACAGGCGUAAAAAAAAGAGAAAAGUAUAUAUAUAUAUAUAUAUAUAGAGAGAGAGAGAGAGAGAGAGAGAGAGAGAGAGAGAGAGAGAGAGAGAGAGAGAGAGAGUCCGGCUGGGAUAUUAUCGAUAGCACCAAGGCUUUGCGCUAUCGAGUUUUUCACCGUUAAAUUUAAUCCUUCGAUUAUUAUUAUUCGUUAGAUUAUACUAUUCAACCAACCACUCACUCAAUCCUAGAGGGCCCAUAUCAUCCUAACUGCACAUUUUUCAAUCCAAGAGCUAAAAAACUAAUAGCAUCAAUAGUUUGGUGCUAUUGAUAGUAUCUCAGCCUAGUUUUAUAUAUAUAUAUAUAUAUUAGUUGGGCUAGAAUACUAUUGAUAGCAAAAGUCCCUUUUUGCUAUCAAGUUUUUAGCCUUUGGAUUAAUUUCUUUCAUCAUUUUUAACCAUUGGAUUAAUUAUUAUAACCCAGUGAGGACCACUCAACCCUAAGCGACUAAUAUCAUCACUAAUAUCAUCCUAAUCCUACAAUUUCUCAUUCAAGGAUUAAAAAUUUGAUAGCAAAAAAAAUCUUUUGUUAUCAAUAGUAUUCCAAUCCAUCUCUCUCUCUCUCUCUCUCUCUCUCUAUAUAUAUAUAUAUAUAUUAUACUUCAAAUGCAUGCAUGAUUACAAUACUAAAGUAGUUCCAAACAAGUUAUAAAUCAACAUAUGGAAUAUAAAAAAGUAUGUAGAUACUGCAUAUAAGUGAAUGAGUACCAUAUUAAAUGAAAUCCAAGCAAGAUAUAUAUAGUUUGAAUAAUGAUUAGACAUAUAAAGAAGUACAUUCUACAGGUAUGACCACUAAUCAUAAGAUUUAAGAAAAUCUCAACAUGCAAAUUUAAAAUAGAGAAAAAUAAUAAUAAUAUAAGAGAGUUGAUCAUCGGCUCCACCAAAUAUUUGUACUUCUUUGAGCAAAUUUUUCUUUUUUCCAAUCCGUUUUCAUGUUAUAGCUUUUUUCCCCAAACACGAUCUUACUUAAACAGAAAAAAAUAAAAUAAAUUUAGACGGUAGAGCGAGAAAGAAUGAAUGGCAUCAAAAAAUAAAACUUGGAAUUAUAGAAAAAUCAUGAAUAGAAACGGUAAUUGAAGUAAUAUUUGGACAAUUAGAAUUAUAUGAUAAGAAAAGUUAGUUACAAACCUCUGUUUAUAUAUCAUCACCAAUAACUAAUCAUUUGAGUUGGGAUUCUACUCUCGUCUACUCGAGAAGGUGAGAUGGAAUGAGCCGCGGGGGUAAACUUGUUUCUCUGGUUGGAGAUAGUUGAGCGGCGGAGAUCGAAAAUAAAUAUGAUGGACGGUUGAUUGGCUACGGUGCAUGAGACACACCGAUGCGCCGGGCGCAUGCAACGAUUUAGUAUUCUCACAGUAGAUCCGUACGACCAACGUGCGAGCCAAAACAAUAAACCUGCGCAUUGGAUUCCCACGGCCAUUGACAAGCGUGGGUUAUGGGAAAAGUGAAAAUCGAAAAAAUAAAAAAUAAAAAACACAAAACAAAAAAGAACUCCCACGUGGGAACAAACGCACCGGAAACUCGCCCUCGGGAGGAGGGCCCCACUCGACACGUGCGACGAGGCAAUCUCUUUCCCCGCGCGUGCGCCCCGCAUCCCAACGCAGCGCGAGGCGAACGGGUCGGAUCUCAACCGUACGCGCUAAUCGGACGGUGGAAAACGCGACCGGGGCGCACACAUGCGGCCACGUAGGCGAGGAGAUUUUGUGGGAUUAUUUUAAACGAUGAUUUUAAUAAUCGCGGGGAGGGGAAACGGGGGAAACCACGCGGAAAGAGAACGGAGAGGGGAAUAGUAAUAAAUAAUAAUAAUAAUGGGGAAAUUAUUAUUUAUUUAUUUAUUUAUUUAUUAUUUUUUUGGUGGUGGGGAAUGGGGAUGCUGACCGUGGGAAUGUGGUUUGACCGGGGAGGGGGAAGGGGAGUGGGGGUGUGCGCACGUGCGGGGGUUUGGUCGUACCACUGUGCCUCGCUGUACUCGCGCUGGUGUCUCCACGUCGGCUCCACAUGGCCACGUGUAUGCAAAAUUGAAGCGCAAGUGCAUGAGUUAGCACGACCAUUUACUAAUCCCCUCAUAAUUGUCCAAAUUUACGAGAUUACUUAAAGAGCAAGAGUUCCUUAAAAAGAGCCCCUCAGCUAGGAGUGCUAUUCUUUUAGCGCUAAAAAUUUUAAAAUUUAUUAUGAUUUAAGAUAUUUGUUGUUUGAAACAUACUGUUACUGUUCUAAAUGGAGAAUUUUUUAAAAAAUAAUAAAAUAAAUAAUUAUUCUUUAUUUAAUAAAAAAUUACAGAAACAAGGUACACUAAUGUGACCGUAACAUAAAUAUUGUGAUAUGAUUGUGGACAUAGGAAAUUUUAAUAUAAUUAAUAUCGUUUUAAAAAACAUUACUUUCAUACAGUAAUUUAUUCAGUCGUAUAAUAUACUAUUCUUAGAUUUCUUUUAAAAUAAUAAAUAAUUAAUGUAUUUAAUUUUAGAAUUUAAAAUAUGCUAUGAUACUGUAGAAAUAAAGAAAAGAAGCAAAAGCGCACACCUCGCCACGAAUAUAUGCCUCCUAGCUAGAAGGGUAGAGGGAAGUAAAUUUACCACACGAAGAGGCAACGAGAAGGGCCGGGGACACGUGCGAGUCACGUGGGGAAGCGUAGCGAUCUCGUACGGACUGUUUAAAAUUUGUUCAGUCUUUUUUCAUUCUCUUCUGUAAUAAAAAAAUUCUAAAAUGUAUCAGUUAUAUUAAUGACGUGAUAAUUUUAAUCAAUAUUAGAUAAAUUUUUUGAAUUAAACUAGCAUGUUAUAAUUAUAAAAAUAUUUUUAUUAUAAUAUUUUUUAUAAAAUAUUUAUAAUUAAUUUAUUACUGUUGAUAUGGUGUAAAUAUAAUACAGUAGCCUUUUAUUUUCUCUCUCUUUCUAGUAGUACCAGUACCAGCACCAGCACCAACAGCAGCGGCAACAGCAGCAGUACAGUACACAAGAUUGCAAGGCGAGAGCAAUAUAUAUAUAUAUAAUUACGGAAUUGCCACUGGAUCUGGAUGAUGAGUGGGGUAAUUUGUCGGGUAGCGAGGUCAUAAUUGGGUGGGGGAGGGGGAACACGUGGGACAGCUAGCGCACACUCGUGGGGGCACAGCUUAAUCAUCACCACCCCCCGACACCCUGCCGGCAUUUAUAUAUUUUCACGCUUCCCGAGGACAGAUAGAUACACAGUGGGAGAGACAGAGAGGGAGGGGGAGAGAGAGAGCGAGAGAUCAUUGAGGAGAUUGAAGAGGAUCGAGACUGAGCCCACUUAAAGCAUGACUAUGACUAAUGACUAUCAUUAUUAUUAUUAUUAUUAUUAUUAUACAGCUUUGCUAGCUAGUUCAUUAAUUGCCGCUGCAUGUAAUAAUAAUACCUGAGCCCUGCGUGAAGAGGUCCCAAGUUGGGUGGAUGUACCUAAAAUUGUCCCCCCAGUUGGUACCUAUAAUAUUUUUCUGUAUUUGUUUAGAUUAGAAAAUAUUCUAAAAUGCAACCGGUAUAUAUAUUGGUGGCUUGGCGUAACAAAUUAAUCAAAUAUCUCCUUUUAAAAAUAUAUGUCCCAUCAUCAUUAUAAAAAAAUAUUUUUAUUAUACUUUUGCUCGAAAAGAAAAGAUGUGAUUGGCUUGUUAUUGACGACGGGGUGCAAGUGUGAUAGUAUAAAAUUCCUCUUAGAUUAGAAACCCGUUUGGCUCAAAAUAAAAAAUAAAAUUGGAAUUGAAUCAGAAUGAACACAAGUUGAAAACAAAAUUAUACAAUCUUUCGAUAUGUUUGGGCUAGAAUAAUAAUCGGAAUCGAUAUGGUUGAUUUGUACUUUUACUUUUAAAAAUUAUUUGAUUUAUAAAAAAUGAAUUAAAAUUAUUUAAAAUUUAAUUUGCCCUUCGAAAUAUAUAAUUAAAUUUAUAAUUUAAAUUCAGACGCUAAAAGUUAAAUAUUAAAAAUUUGCAUCAAAAUAUUGAAAUGAUAAGUCAAAAUUUUAAAUGUAAUUUUUUAAAAUUUAAAAUUAAGCGGACAAUUCAGAAUAAGAAACUAAUUUUUGAUUUGGUUCAUGUUCAAACUUACAACUAAAUUUAAAUUCAAAUUUAUAGAUCAAAUUCAAAAUGCUUAAUUGAAUUUAUACUUUAAGUUAAUUUCUAAAGCAAAAUCUAGAAUAAAAAAUUUAAUUUCUAUAUUUAAAUUUAUAUUUUAAUUUAAAAUUAAAGAUCAUAAAAAUAAAUUUAAUUUAAAUAAAAAUAUAAAAUAUAAUUGAGAUAUUUUCGUAAAGUGCAUUUUUUUCGCUUAAAUUCAACUUCCAAUUCGAUCUCCUACGCCAGAUUGAAAAAAGGAGUGAUUGGUGGAUUCUAUUCACCCAAAAAUUAGAAUCAGAAGAAAACUCCCACAUACUAAACACUCACAAGUUAAACACUCACAAGUUGAUUUGCCCGUUCCGAUUCUAAUUUUUGGGUGAAAGAGGGACGAAUGGAACCCACCCUAAAUUUAUAUCUUAUAUUUUCUUUAUCUAAUAUUAAAAACUUCAAAAAUUGUGCGAAUUCUAGGAUGCCUAAGAUGUCAGAUUUAUACCUAUAUAAGUGUGUAUAAAUAGCGUUUUCUUUUGUUAUACUCUUAUGGUUUUAAUACCGACUGUCUCUAGCAUAAGUCGUAAAGUGCUUGGUGGUUGGUAUCCGAGGUCCCAAGUCUAAAUACUAGUUGAUUUAUAUUUUCAACUAAGUUUAUUUCUUAAAAAAAUAAAUAAAAUGGGUAGCACAUGCUGUCCUUCCCUGAAAAUACUGUUAUGGCUUUAAUCAAAAAGAAAAUCGAAAUUUAGAAUCUAUUCCAAAUGCUUAUCCGAUAACUAUCUUUUUCGAUGGUUAGAUACCCGAGGAUCGACGAAAAGCAUGCAUAUGCUUUGGAUGCCUUUUGUGAAUAUUUAUACUAAAUAAAUUGAUGUGGUGGAUUAAUUGUACGUAGUUUGUACAAGUACAGACUAAAGAUAUUAUAUUAUGAUGGUGCAGUAAUACUCAGUUGAGAAAAGCUAAAACUCU